rnacentral:lncRNA from 1 species
AUUGCCUACAGAUAUGGCCUAAGUAAGUGCUUAUAAAGGUUGGGUAGUCCUCAUCUUACAACCCAGCUUUGCCGGAUUGAGCUAGGCUCAAGCUCAACCAAAUUAUAUGAUGGUAUCGGAGUGUAUCCUAUUCUAGAUCCAUUGUCCAUGCUUCCGGCCCAUCGGGUUUGGUCAUGAGGGGCGGUUGGAAAUUCCGCCUUAAUUGGCAGUUAAUUAAGGUUAUAAAUCAGAAGUAAUUUACUUCCCUGAAAUCAAUGAGAAAAUAUUAUAAUAUUGCCCAUGUAGAAUAUGCAAUCAAGUACUAACAUUAGUUUAGUGUCUAGUCAUUGUCCAUACAAUUAGUAAGGCCCAAAUUCAUUGUAUAUAAGUUAUAUUAUACCAAGUAAUUAGGGAAAUUAAGUUUCAGUAUUAUCAGAUUGAUAUGUAUUCAGUGUCUAUGAUGUAAUUUUAUAGUGAUCAUCUCCCUUUUGAUUAUCUCUUACCAAUUCACAUAUGCAAAUUACAUUCAAUCAAAAAGAAAAAUAUAUAAUUCACAUCCAUGGCCAAAGUAUUUCAAGCAGUCGCAAUAUUUUAUCGAAUUCGAAUAAAACAUGGCAAUCUGAAAAGAAAAUGUUGAACAGAUUAUUGCUUACCUCAGUUGAACGAAGUCCCCAGGUAAAACGGCGAUGUUUAGAGUUAGCUGCUUUUGAAUCCCAUCCUCUAUAUUCAUACAAGCUAGUGGAUGUAUAUACACAUCUUGGAACUUUUUGAAAGGAGGACUCUAAUGGAACAUUGCCGCAUGUUACCACCUUCAAAAGUUACAAUAUAUCAAUGGUUUAUUUCCAUCAAUCAUUCAUAUUUUGAAAUAAAAACUAUUCAAGUAAUUGAUAUCUGUUUCAUAAAAAACACUUAAUGAACUAAUCCAUGGAUGAAUGAGAAAAAUACAGUCAAACAAUGUGUGGCAAGUGUUGGAUGUGUGUGUAUUUGGACUGUGCUUUUGCUAUUUCUACAUGUUUAUUUGAUUGUAGUACACAUGUAUAAGUCGAAAAUAAAAUACAUACCCCAGAAACUUUCACAAACUGUCCAUUCUUGGCUGUCCUCAGCUCUGCAUCGGGAUAUUGAGAAAUGAAACCAACAAUAGCUUUCCUUCCACGACAACUAUUCCAAGUGAAUAAUGCCGCUACCGCAGCAAAAAGAAUUACUACAACAAUAAGGAGUAUGGCAUUGUGGACAGCUCCAAGAAUAAAACCUCCAGCAAUGAAUCCCAUAACAAAAAUCAGAAUCACAGACCACAAUAUUGGCUUUGGGAAGUUCUUCCUGAAGGAAUAUUCAUCAUCCACACUGAGAGUAGUCACAGCUGGAUUAUGAACAACAGAAGCACUAUUUAAUUUCAUUGACCCUAAGGACUCUAAUGGACCAGAAACCUUCCUUGGAGCCCCAGAGGAAUUCAGCGGGCCAGAUGUAAUCAAACCAGUUGUUGGAAGAACUGGAGGUAUUGGACCCGAGUUUUGGCGUGUGCCACCACCUGAUUGAGGACCAGAGGACUUCUUAACCGGUUCCCCAUGUUUAUUCAACGGACCUGAGUUUGUCCUUUUCAUUGAGGCUGAAGUAGACAUGCCUGCAGCAGAUAGAUUACCUGACGUGACAUACGCCGAACGAGCUGCUGCAUUUUGCAUAAUAGGUCCAGAGUGCGAAGCAGCGCCAGCAAACGAUCCAGUCCUUGAAGGAGCGUUAUUUAAUGGACCAGAUUUUCUAGAUUUGGAACCAUCCAUAGGGAUAUCAAACAUUUUCCCUAAUUCUCCUGACUUCUUGAUGUCACCGCCGGUAUAAGGCAUAGCAACUGAGCUCAUUGUUGGAGUCCUUUCUUUCGGCUGUUCAGGACGGCCCGAUACAUACAGGCCAUUGCUUAGCUGAUGAGAUGGGAACCUCGAACCCAUCACAGAUAUCUUUUCAAAUGAGCCCAAAAGAAGCAACUGAAUAAGAAACCGUACUAGUUGGCUUCGCUGAUGCAGUACUCAAAGUAACACUGCAAAACAAUGGCACCUAAAAAAGAUUGAAACAGAAUUUAGACUUAUCUGGAGACUCUGAUUUGCAGAUACUAUAGAAAUCAUAAGAAGUGAUAUUCUUUUUCCUUAGACUAUAAAUAAGAUGAAUCACAUUCAGCUAAAGAAACCAGAUUAAAACUGCAAUUAGAAUUAUCAUAAUAACAAUGCUGGAUUUUCAGGUACAUGAUUGAAUACAUUGUGACACACAAAAAUACAAAGAAGAAUAUAAAAUUAAACUUAAAGUUACAAAAAAAUCAAAUAAAUAUAUAGAAUUGAAAUUGAAAGGAAAGUUAUACAUAAAAACAAAAAAAAAAAAAACCUUAAUUAAAAAUGAUGGUAAAGUAAGAAUGAAGAAAAGGUAAAAGAAAGAAAGGGACAGUUAACCAUCCUAAGUAAAAUUAGUUAGAUAGAUCUAAAGGAAAGAGAAAUGGAUCUUCCUGAAAAUGUAAACAUGUUGUGAGAUCCAUUCAUAAAUCAACAUUGAGUUGAAACUUGUAAAAUUAAAAAUAAAACCCAAGUUAGUUUAAUUACAAUGUGCAAAACAAAUACCCAAAAAGCCAUAAUUUGAAGAUCUGAGAAAAAUGAGAAUGAAUAUAUAGAUAUUGUACCUGAAGAGAAGAUUUAGAAUGAAGAAGAGUAGCGAUGGUGUUGCUGAGUUUGAGAUCCCAUUAUUGUCUUUUCUCUUUCUCUUUCUCUCACUCUUCUUCACACUUGAGUUGAGUUGAAAGAAACUUCACCUCUUUUUUAUUUUCUCUUUCUCUCUCUCUCACAAAGCAAAAUGACCACUACUAUAAUAAAAGUUAAAAAAAUCUCUCUUUCUCUCUCUUAAAAACAAAAAAAAAAAACAGGUGCUGCAACAACUGGUAGGUUGUCUAGUCCAGCAAAAACCACCAAACCAAGCAACAUAUAAUUUAUUUAUUUAUUAAUUAACACAUAAUCAUCCUUCCUUUUCUUUUCAUUCAUUCAUUAAUCUUAAUCUUAAUUCGUAAUAUUAACAACCACCAACGUUUUCCUUUCUUUCUGUGUUUUUAAACGUAUAUCUUUUUUAGCUCUAUUUGGUAAAAAGCAUUAAGUGAUAGUUCAUAACUAAUUAAUUGAUUGAAGAUGAAUUUACGAUUUGAUCAAUUGAGUGAUGCUCGGGCCAUUUCAAAUUAUAAAAAUCAUUUUAUAUUUCAUUUAUCUUUUUGAUAUCAUUAAUUAAAGAUAAUUUUGUAAAUAAAUUAUAAUUUUUUUCUCAUAUAAAAAAAGUACCAAACAAUAUAAAUUAUUAUUAAUGUGAAAUUACCAAAACGAUUUAUAAUUUGCUACAAAGAAAAGUAAUUGACAGCAAAUACGUUAGUGGAUUAAUUUAUAUUGUUUGGUAAAUUCAUUGACUAAUAAAUAUUUUCUUUAGAGUAAUGAAUGAGUAAUAAAUAUGAAUCACAUAAAAGAUAUUUUUAAUUAAUAUUUACUUUUUUCCAAUUAAGAUAACAAAGAGUAAAAUGACGAAAUCUAUAAACUCGAGCUAUUUUUUUUUUAGGAGAAACUAAGAUAAAGCAGCUUAACAAAGCAUAUUAUAAGCCUUUGGGAACAAAUUUUUUACCACACAAAUCUAUUGUGAUAUAUAAGCUAUAAGUUUCAAGUUCCAACAUUGUCUUAUUAAAUGAAGUUUUUUUAAUCAGAUAUCCUCUGCAUAUAAUUGGAUACACUAAUCCUUGAGUUAGAUACGACUUCAAUAAGUAACAAAAUUAUCUCUAAAAAAUUAACACGUGUUAUAAUAUAAUAGUAAGAUUUUAUUAACCAUUAGUCAAUUUAUGCAUUAUUUAUUUAAUUAAUCCCAUGAACAAAUAUUUUGAGUAAAAAAAAAGUAUCUCAUCUAGCAGAAAAGGCAUAAGGGCAAAAUGAAGGGUCCAUGCUAAGUUAACUCCACAAACAAAUACAUAUUUUCUUGAAUGAAAAGACUGAUUUAUUUUGUUAUACAACUUUGCAUAAGUGGAUGGACUAAACUUUUCUUGCUUAGAUUUACUUGAUAUAUUUUAUUUCCUAUCUACCACGAUAUUUAUCAUACGUUUUUUUACGGCUCAAAAUGGUUUUAUUACCUUUGGGAUUUUUGUCUUUAUCAACCUCAAAAGAUGACCUUAAUAAGUUGAAGAUUUUUACACUCUUUGGUAAAGCUUUAUUCUACAAACAAUGGUUGUACGGGAAUACGAGUAGUUUGAUUUGAAAAAUAUCUCCUUUAAAAUCUAUUAUGGGACUCUGUUUCAUGGUCAAAAUUUCAUUGUGCAGUAUAAUAUUAUUAAAAAUGGCAAACUUACGAGAACAAAAUUCAAUUACAAAUAUUUUUAUCAAAUUUGUGUGGAUUCUUUCAUUCAAAUCACACCUUUUUCAAACUCUCGAUACUUAUGUAAGAUGACGUUGAAAUUCAUUCUUAAACGGGUGCAAUUACAAAUUAUUACGUGCGAGUAUAGAUAAAAAUUAAAUUACAACCAUAUUUUUAUGUAUGCUUAAAAGAAACAUUUUAGCUAUUGAUAUAUUAGACGGUGAUUCGGCAAAUAGUUCUUGACAAUGAUUCUCGUUUCUUUAAGUAAUUACGCUAAAUAAUGAACUAUAAUAUUUUUUAUUUAUGCUUACAAAGAUCUUAUGUUUCAUUUUUUUUUUUGCUCUCUAGAUAGGUAAAUAGCAACCAACAUGGAUUAAUUAUAGUGAAAGGGAUAAAACUUUCAUUACAUUAGAAACUAAAAUUAUAUUUCAGUCGAAAGAGAUGCCAACAUUUAAUUUUUGACACACAUUUGAUAUGUCCAGCAUUAUCAUGGGGGAAAUUUAUGGAAAAGAAACGUAAGCGCAAGAACAAUAGCUAUUUUAAAACAUAAAGGUUAAAGGUUAAUUGUGAUACUUUGAAUAUAGUGAGAAGUGAAUUAGCCCUCCAACAUUAAAAUAAUCGAUUAGUAGUAUAUAAUAUUAUUAUUGACACAUCUUCGUAGCAUACCAACUGUGAUGUGAUUAGUAUAUGCGUCUUCUUAUCGUACCAACUGUAAUGUGAUUAAUAUAUGAUAAAUGCUAAUAAGUGUUUUCGAGUCUUUUUUUUUUUUUUAAGAAGUUAAAUUAGCUCAUCUAAAUUGUAUUAGAGAAAAUCGAAUCUGAGACUUUAAAGAGGAUCACACUCUCAGAUCCCAAAUCAAUACCACUAGACCAACUCAAAUAGGUUCUUUUCGAGUCAUUUUUUAAAGGUCUUAAUAAUAAAUUUUUAUGAAAAUUUGUAUAAAUAAUAUUUUUAUAAAUAAUAUUUUUUAAAUUUGAAAUGUUUAAAGAGUGUUUCGAAAACAUUCGUUAAAAAGACUUUUAGUAAUAUAAUAUAUGAUAUAUAUACCAUUACUGCAUAUUCUUAAAAAAAGGCUAAUAAAUACUUUGGUCCCUUAACUUAUUUUUGGAUUUCAAUUUGGUCCCCUAACUUUAAACUGUUUCAAUUUGGUCCCCUAAGUAUACAUCCGUUACCCAUUUUGGUCAUCUCGAUUAGUUUUUAACUUUAAAUAUCUAUAGUGGAUCAAUAGUGUAUGUGGUCUAUCAUAGACCUUAUUAAUUUUAAAUUUUAACCCUUUGAUUUAAAAAAAAAAAAAAGGAAAAGUUGGAUGAUGGAGCUUUAUUAUAUCCUACCAUGAACCAACCAUACCUACCUUUUCUUCAUUUUCUUCCCUUUUCUUCUCUUCAUCAUCUUCAACAUCAUAUCAUAUAUACAUAUAAACCCAGAAAAUCAUCAAUAUCAUGUUCGAUAUCUUUUCUGUCUAAACUCAAAUCGAACUUGACAAACACACACACAUUCCAUUUUCACCUUCAACUAACACUGAAAGCUUCAAUUUUUCUUUCUAAAACAAAAUCCCAAUUUUCCAAAGCUCAAAAAAAUUGUUCCCUUUGUCCAAAUCGUUCAACCCACACCCAAAAACAUUAAUCGUUCGCUUUUUAUUCUUCUUCUUUGCAAUCAAUGACACAUAGCAAGCAUAUGUUCUAUUUCUCCAUCGAUUUUCCUUGUAAUGGAUUCUAGAAUUAGGAUUUUUGCUUAUUCUCCAAAGUAAUAAUAUAGGGUUUGUAUCUUUAUCUUUUUAACUAUUGAUUUGCUUCCUAUUAGUACAAUCUCAUCAAUUUCUUAAAUUAGGUUCUUAUAUGGCGUAGGAGAAUUGUAAUUUUGAUGAUUUUACAUGUUCUUUUCAAAAGAGGGGUUAGGUUAUCAAUUAAUCUAUUGUUAAAAUUAAAUUGAAUCCUCGUUGAGAUUCUUUGAUGAAGUGAGUAAGUUCCUUGUUAAGAAAUUGAACCUUGGUACUUUUCUUAAGCAAAGAUGUGGUUAUAUAAACUGAAGCGAACAAAAAAUUUGCACACCCCUAGAGAUGAUGAUGAUAGUUUUGUUAUUAAUUGUUGUUGAUAAUUUCUGGAAUUUUUUGGGUUUUGUAUAAAGAUUGAUGAAGCUGAUGAUGAAAAAGAUGAAUGAAGAAGAUGAAGAUAUGAGGAAGGAGAAGAGAGAAGAUGAUGAAAGUAAAAAAAAUUAGGUGCUGACGGUUCACUAUUAAAUACAAUACAAUGGACAUGCAAUCAUAUGGUUAAAAUCAUAUCAAAAAAUUUAAACAUUAAAAAACCAACGGAGAUGACCACAAUAGUAAAUGGAGGAAGACUUAUGGGAUCAAAUUGAGACACUUUAUAGUUAGAGAACAAAAAAUAAAUUAAGGGAUCAAACGAUGUAUUAAGCCUUCCUUAAAAAAACGCAUAGAUGUAUUUGACUACCAUGCUUAACAAUAGAUGCAUCCGUAAUUUGCACCAUAUCUUUAUCCUCCCCGUUUUCGUAUAAAUUUUUUCCAACUUAUAAAAUAUUUUAUUUACCCUCCCCCUUUUCAUAUAAAUAUUUUCCAAAAUCCAAAGUAUAAAAACAACAUGAAUUCCAGAUUUUCUUUCAAAAAAAAAAAAAAAAACAAGAAUACUAUAUUUGCUUUGACCCAAUUCAAUAGAACGUUGCUGUAAUUAUUUAGCACUGGAUGUAGGAGGAGUAAGACAACUAGUUGCGUAAUUCCAAAGACAUCAUUUCUGUUGUUAUGAUUGUUGGAGCAAGUGCUUUUACUUGUUUCACUCGAAUCAGCUUUGCAAGUUGCCACUAAAAGAUUGUGAAUUUCGUUUUGAUAAAUUAUCAUUAUAUCACCUAAUAAAAGGAAGGACAUUAUUCUUGGAAAGAAGUCGGUCAUAUGCCUUCAAAGGUGAACCAUAUUUUCAAGCUUCAUUGUUCUCAACUUCUCAUUAAUAAUAUAUCAAAUGGAAAUAUUCGGAUCAACCAACCUUUGUUCUUUUGCAAGAGAUGCAUCCAUCUCAAACUGAAUAAGUAAUGACCAUUGCUUACUACUCUCAAUUAUGACUGAUCUUAUCAAUAUUGCAGUGCAUAGACAAUGAUUGUAUUUUGCAUGAAGCUUGUGUUGAAUCCUACUUAAUUGUGCAUCAUGCAAGUAGAACACAGUGAGUGAUACAGUUCAUCAGAGUGGCAUAACAAAUGUAAAUUAAAGACAAGAAAAUUACAUGUCUUGUUGCCCAUGCAUUCUUACAUCUAAAGUCUAGACAGUAAAAUACCAAUAUCUGAACAAAACACCUGUAUCUUGCAGAUACCCGAUCAUACAGAUAAGAUAAAUCAAUACAUGGAUCAAAUAAGCUGUAUUAAAUUCACGUAAAUGAUCCUUGAAAAAUCAGAGAACAAAUCCGGGUUUUCUGGAACCUAUAUUCUUGUCAGCAAUUUUGUAUUAUGUCAACUGGUACCAUUUUGUCAAGACACCAGAAGUGCAGGGACAAGAGUUCUCUGCCUUAUCCCCAGCUUGACAAGUUUUUCUACUGUUAUAUCAUAACUUAAGUUUUUCUGCUCUAAAAUCCGGGUUUUCUGGAACCUAAGUUUUUCUGGACAAGCAAAAAUCAGAGAAUAAAUCCAGAUUUUCUGGAACCUAAGUUUUCCUACGCUUAUCAAAGUGAUUAGUUGGAUCGUAUUAGAGGUUGUAGUUUACCUGGCUACUUAGGAAUGUAAUCAAAUUAUAUUAUAUAUGUACAGAUAUAUAGCCAGAAUUCUCUCACUCAGAGAUACAAGGGGUUCUGCUCUGAACUCAAUAAGGAACCGGAUUAUCUAAAUCGAAAUUGGCGCAGAUGGCAAAGCAUUCAUUGUGCAUCAUAAGUUCAUAACCAUUGUUGAACAUGUAUUUUAUAUUUAUGCAAGAGCAAGAUUACUAGCUUGCAAACUCUGCCCAGAGCUCAUAAUGAAUGAAUUUCAAUUAAAAUACAGCUAAACUAUCCAACCCAACAACAAAACACAACAUAUAUUAUUCGAAAAUAAAAAUCCAAUGCCUUCUUAACCACAUACAUAACUACCAAAAUAUACCAAUCUGAAAAUUACAUUGUAUUGUAUACAGAAACCAAACUUUAACCUAUGUUUCUCAAGAACCCACUUUUCUAAAUUCUGCCAAAACGUAGGAAGAAGAUUCUUUGUCGUUCAUGAAAACAUUCUUCAGUAGCCCACACCUGUUCAACCACAAAAUAAUAACAUCCAAAAUAUUUAAAAAUCACAACACAAGAUAUGAGAAUUAUCUAGAGAAGAUCACGUGCCACAGCACAGAUCUAGGGGAAAAAAUCGCACAAAAAUGUGAAAUUCUACCAUAAUUAGGAGAAAGCUUUCAUAGACAGAUAGAUAGAAGAUCCAAUAUUCAAAAUUAAAUGAUAAAAAAACAAUUAAGCAUACAGAACUUUUCAGACUCAAUGGCUAGCUAGCACACAUAAGCAAGAUAUAAGAGUAAACGCUCAAUUAGACUUCAACUUCAAGUACCACUACCUCCUACAUAGUCCCUAAACUAUAUAAGAUGAUUAGUCUCCGAUAUUUAAUAAGUAGCCACAAACAUUUUUGUUAAAUCCCUAUCACAUUAGUUAGUCCCUAAGAUCUUGUCAAAUGUCAAUAUAUAACAGUAGGGACUAACAAGAAAGAUUUAUCAAAACAUUAGAAACCAUUAUAAAACAUUAGAGAGUAGUACUUAGUAUUUUCAAAUCAUGCAGGACUGACUAACCAAGAGAAAGAGUGACAGCCUACACAGCACUACAUACACUUCAUAUGGAAGGUGUGCCUAACAUCCAACAAAUGUCAGUGUUGGACACAUUUGGUUAAACAUGCCUCCGACACAUUUGGUUAUAUUUGAGUCCGACACGUGUGAUUGCAUUUUCUCAAAUUAUUAACGUUGUCUAGUGUCUGUAUGUGUAUAUGUGCUUCAUAGGUGAUAACAAAAUUCGGGUCAAUGUGUAUAACAAACUGUCGAAAGGAUAUCCUCUACAAAUAACGUUACAAUAAAUCAAUUCCAUUUUCUCAAAUUAUUACUACUGACAUCAACAUAUCAAUGUCGAGCCUAGUGUAUAAUCAAUAGUGUCCCUCACACACGUGUCGGAAUGACAGAGACCAACACAUGUGGUUACAAAUUACAAUAUCUUACUUCCAUAUUCUAAAAUUAUUAUCAGUGUUUACAUGUCAACUUGUUACUAGUGUCCACGUGUCAGUGUUGAGUCUAGUGUUAGGGCUUUAUAAGUGACAACUAAACUUGGGGUUUACACAAACAUGUAAAAUGCAUACUUAAGAGACAAAAUUCAAUACAACCCAUCCAAUCAAAUACAACAACAACAAUCAAGUCUUAUCCAAGUAAGUGGGGGUCGGCUACAUGGAUCAAACAAUGACACAAUGUUAUAUAAUAUAACCAAUCUAUCCAAUCAAAUACAUACAAAAGAGUGAAAAUGAGAAAUGAAAAGGAAAGCAAAGAGGUAUAUAUGUAUGUAUGUAUACCUGUAGGGAUGGGAUGGGAUGGAAUCUAAACAGAAACAGUGAGGAGACCAGCAAGAGAACCCAAAACAGCAAAAGCAAGAAGAGGACUAAUAUCAAGAGUAUCAAAAACAGGUGGAACAAUAUUCCUAAACAAACUUAGAUAAGGAUCACAAAGAUCCCUAAUUGCAGACAAUGGUUGUCUUUCCCAUGGAAUGUUCGGAAACCAACUCAACAAAACCCUAACCAACAACACACCACUGUAAAUAUCCAACCAUUUCUUCAACCCCGCCGCUACAACCGUCAACGGCGUGUUCACCGUCCCCGACCUAGUAUUUUUCAUGACAGCGAAACAAAGCGACGCUGAUGAUGUUGCAAUUGAUGCACAUAGGUCUGGUGGUGGAAGAAUGUUGACGAAUGCUUUGACACAUAAAAGCGCGGUGGCGAAUAGGGUUGUAACUGUUCGAGUGGAACCAGAGAGAAGAACGUUGUUGCUUUCAUUGUUGAUGAGGGUGUUGGUUUUGUGGUUGAUUGAAAUAGAACAUGUUGUUCGGCGUUUGUGUUGAGGGUUGAUUAGAUUAUUAGGUUGGAAAGAGAGAAGACGAGAUGAAGGUGAGAAAUGGGAAGUUACAGUCAUACCCCCCAUACCCAAACCUAAACCCAUCGUUGCUGCUGCUGCUGCCAUUGACGCCAUUUCUUCUUGUUCUCCUUCUCCGGUUGUUGGUUUAGGGAUUAGGUGUUUUUGUCGCUCUUCACUCGGCCUAAAUUUUUUAUAUCGAUAAUAAUAUAUAAUAUAGAUAAAUAAAGUUUAGAUAGCUCUAGAAUCAAAAAUCAAAAUCAAAAUGAUUUUUUUAAGGAAAAAAUUGAAAAUGUUAUUCAACUAUAUUUUUAGGAUCCCAGUUUUUAUUUUUUAUUUUAAAAAGAGAAUAUUAAACAAUAUCCUAGAACAUCAAUCAAGGAGGAAUCAAAUAUAAUAGUAUGACAUUGAAAAAUCAUGUUGUCAAUGGAUCAGAAAUUUAUAAAAUGUAUUUUCAACAUAACAUUUUCUUUUUAACUUCUUUAAUCACUAGUUGGUAUACCCUUUAAAAAAAUAGUUAACAAAUUAAAUUGAACAAUAUCAACCAUUAAUUAACUAAUUGAAGGUAUAUCACUGGUAUGGACACCCGUGCCAAGCACGGGUUAGAAUUUCGUCAUAGUUGAGGGAUACAAUAUUAUGAUGUAUUUAUUGUCAGUUAAAUUCAAACGUGGGAUAAAACAAUGGAGGUUUAUUAACUAAUAAGCGGAAGAAGAAAAAAAAAAAACUAAUACUUAAGCAUGAAAGUUUUGGAUGAAGAUGCAGUAUCAUUCUCACUUGUGUAGUUGUUCCUUCUCAAAUGUGUCGAUCGACCGGUGCUGACUCCUCCAGAAAGUUCAACGAUGGUAUGUUAUUUAUGUUUAACAUUGCGGGGGAGAAGUUCUUGGUGGUGGAACACAGAUAUUGUGUCAAGUGUUAGUAAAAAUUUCACUUUGUAUGAAAUGAGGGGUGGAUCUAUGUUAGGCUAUGUGGGGCUAAAGCCCCACAUGCCCUUCCCUAUUUUUUUAUGUAUAUUAUAAAAAUGGUAAUAGUUAUUUUGAUCCCUGAAUAUGUAAUAAAUAGUCAUAAUAAUCUCUCAGUGUAUUAAAAUUAUAAAAUAAUACAUGAUUUUGUACUUUAUUAGUCAUAAUAAUCCCUGAAGUGACAAUAAAUAAGUAUAUUGAAGGACUAAUAUGACAAUAUCAAUGAAGUAUUUGAAUGUUAGGGACUAUUUUGACUAAUGAAGUGUGCAAUCAGAGACAAUUUAAAAUUUUAAUACAUUGAUGGACUAUUUUAGCCUCACAUGUAUCCAAUGUCUCGAUCUGUCUCGAUCUGUCUGUGGAUGCAAAAGUAAAUGUUAAGAAACAUAUAAGUGAGAUGAUCGAUAUACCUAAUACACUAAGAUUUUGGAUGAUGAUGUGCUGUCAAUUGUAUGAUUAACCUUAACAUAAUGUGAUGAUCCAACUCAUUGUAGUCUCCAUUAGAACUCUGGACUUUUUUUUUUUGUUACUGAACUCUGAACAUUAUGAUGAAUUGUUUUAUUAGUUUUUGGAUGUCAUUUAUUUAAUUUUAAUAUUAAAUUGAAGUAGAUGUUGAACAACAUAUAAGUUAUAUGACUCAUAUACCUACUACUUUAAGCUUUAGGGUGAAGAUGUGGUGUCUAAUUACUUGUUUGGUUUCUUUUAAUCUAAUGCGAUGAUCAAUCUCAAUGUAGGAUGCCUCGAAACUCACGACAAUAUGAUGAACUAUUUUUUUAGUUUUUGGAUGUCAUUUGUUUAAUUUUGGCUUAAUUACAAUUUUGGUUCUUCUAUUUUCACUCACUCACGGAAAUUGUCCUUCCAUUUCAAAAUUACACGGUCUUGGUGCCUCUUUCAGAUUUUUGAACUUAAAAAGGGUGAUAUGUCAUAUUUAAAUUAAAACUUUAAAGGAGUUUUCAUGUAAUUACAUGGGUAUUGAUUAUUCUACAUCAUCAGACUAAAUGCAAGGUCAUCUAAAAUAUGUCACAUCAUUGUUUUCUAGUCUAAAAAUAGCAAAAAGGGAUCAAAACAGUACUAAAAAAACAAAAAUUAAUGAGGGAUAACAUGAAAUCCCUCUCUAAUUAUGUUACUAAAUUUUGCGACCAAAGAAUUUAUGAGGGAUUUUAUUUUUUCCGUCACUAAUUUUGCAUUUCCUAGCAGUGAAGCUGAGUGAUUUUAAAAUGAACGGACCAAUUCAUGAGUUGCUGAAAAUAUGGUACUAAAUAUGCAAUUAAGUCUUUAACUUUUCAAUCUUAAAAUUUUAUUUUGAAUGUCAUUCUCUUUCUUGUGAAUUUUUCAUUCAACCUCAAUUAUUUCAAAUUUAUUUACUUUUGACCGUGUGUGGCAAAUGAUAAUGAAAAAUUGUCAAUGUGUUAUGUUGGGUUGAUAAAUAUAUGCUUAUUAGAUAUUUAAAAAUAUGCGGUGUUUUUUUAAUUGAAUCUAAUUUUUUGGUAAAAUAGUUGUCCAAAGAAUCUCCAACUCCUUGAAGAAACUCAUAAAUUUAUCAUACAACUCACACUGUUUUCUAUACCUUCACAAACAAAACACACAAUGAUUAGUUUUUUUUCUCAUUAUCUUUUCUCAUGUUCAAAUCUUUUUUUCGUAUCUUUUUUCUUACUUCUAAUUUUCUUUCUCUCUUCUCAUGUGAGAAAGAAACAUAAACAUCCCUCAAUGAAACCAUCACUAACCAACCUUUUUAAACAUAUGGUGUCUUCAUUUGAUAUUAUUUGACUAUGUCACGUAAUUAUGGACACAGAGAGUUGCAAACUUGAAUAAGAGAUGUUAAUGUGUCAAGCGUGAGUUAAAAUUCUAUGGUGGAUAGAAGAGUAGAUUUUGAAUAACAUAUAAGUGAGAUGACUCAUAUACAUACCACUGGCUUAAUGUUUUGUGUGAAUAUGUGAUAUCAAUCUCACUUGUAUGAUAUCUCUUAGUCUAAUAUGGUGAUAAAACUCAGUGUAAGAUCCAUUGGAAGUCCCAAAGUUAUGAAGAAUUGUUUUAUUAGCUUUUAUAUCUCAUUUUAUUUAAAAAAUUUAUCCUAAAUUUUGAUUAUUGAACGUCAUUCGCUUCCAUGCUAUUUUUUUAUUCAACCUCCCUUAUUUCAAAAUCCUUCACUUUAGGUCUUUUGUAGAAUCUAACAAUGGAAAAAUGCAUAUGUGUUCCACUGAAUUGACAAAAACAUACUUAUUAAAAAAUUUAAAUUGAUGUUGCAAUUCUUUAAUUGAGUCUAAUUUAUCGUAAAAUAAUUACCCCAAAACUCCUAAUUCUUCAACAAUCCCACAAAAUUACCAGCAACUCACAUUAUUCCACAUACUCUCAUGGAAAAAGCACACACUCAUUUUUUUUUCUUAUCAUUUCUCUCAUGUUAAAAUUCCUUUUUUAUUUAUUUCUUUUUCUGAUUCAUUUUCUCUAUACUCAUGAAAUAAAUGAAUAUAACCAUCUCUUCGUGAAACCCCAUCGACCAACCUUUUCUACCAUUUUGUGCCUCAAUAUUACUUUAUUUGGUUAUGUCACCAAAUUAUAGAUGUAGAAAGUCUCACAUUUAGGAGAGACAAGUUAAUUUGUCGUAUUUGAGUUAAAGUUUCAUAUUGGAUGCAAGAGUAUGUGGUCAAAAAAAAUAUAAGUGAGAUGACACAAAUAACUAAUGCCUUAAAAUUUUGGAUGAGGAUGUGGUGUUAGUUUCACUUUUAUGGAUGUUUUUACCCGAAUGUGAUUAUCCAACUCAGUUUAGGCCCCCUUGGAAGUCACAACAUUACGAUGAACUGUUUUGUUAGUUUUAGAUGUCAUUUGUUUAAUUUUUUAUCAUGUUAAAAUUUUAGUUUUCGAAUGUCAUUUGGUUUGACGCAAUUUUUUUAGUCAACCUUUAUUUUUUUUUUUUUAAAAUUAGUCAACCUUUAUUAUUUUAAAUUACUUCACCUUUGGUCUUUGGUGUCAUCUGAAAAUGAAAAAAUGUAGAUGUGUAAUGUUGAGUUGGCAAAAUACAUGCUUAUUAGACAUUUCAAGUGAAGAUGUGGUGUCAAUUUCACUUGUGUGAUUGCUCUUACCAUAAUAUGAUGUUCCGACCCAAUGUAGGUUUCCUCCGUAGUCCCAACAUUAUGACGAACUAAUUUACUGGUGUUUGGAUUUCAUUUUUUAUUUUGUAAAUUUAAUUAAGUAAAUGGUCCCUAUAAAUAUCCAAAAUUUCAUUUUUAGUCCAUACAAAAAUAAAUCGCACUUUUUAGUUUUUGUAAAAAAAUUCGUCAACAAUUUUAGUUUUUGUCAAGUUUUUUUAUCAACAUUCUUAGUCCCUUUAAAAUUUUCAGUCCGUGUUUUUGGUCCCUAAAAAUGCCAAAUAAAAAAGUUACAACGAUUAAAAAAAUGCAAUUUUUUUUUUUCAAGAAAUUAAAAAAAUAUCUUUAUAUUUAUAGGAAACAUUUACUUAAUUAACCAUUUUUUCGAUAAAACUUCAUUUGUGGAUGUCAAUCGCUUUCAUUCUAUUCUUCUAUUCAACCUCUAUUUUUUCAAACUCCUUCAUAUACUGUCUAUGAUGGGGUGUGACAAUGGAAAGUGCACAUGCGCUAUGAUGAGUUUACAAAAUACAUGUUUAUUAGAAAUUUUAAAAUGAUACAACGUUUUUUUUUAAUUAAGUCUAAUUUUUUGGUAAUAAUUACCCAAAAAAUUUCAACUCCUUCAACAAAACCACAUAAUUACCGAUAAUUCAAUCUAUUUUAUGUACUCUCACGGACAAAACACAUUACAUAUUUUUCACCUUAAUUUUUCUCUCAUGUUAAUUUUUUUUCUUCAUAUUUGUUUUAUUUUUCUUUCUAGUUUCUUUUCUCUAUUCUCAUAGAUGAAAGGAAUAUAAACCUUCCUUCAUGAAAUCACCAUCAAUCAACUUGUUUGAACAUGUUGUGUCUAAUUUUGACCUUAUUUGAUUACGUAACAUAAUUACGAACGUAGACAGACGCACAAUUGAUUAGGAUAUGUUAAUGUGUCAAAUGCGAGUUAAAAUUAUACAUUAGAUGAAAGAGUAGAUUUUGAGCAACAUAUAAGUCAGAUGACCAAAAUACCUAAUGUCUUAAGGUUUCAUGUGAAAAUAUGGUGUCAAUCUCAUUUGUAUGGUUGCUAUUGACCUAAUACGAUCAUCCAACCCGGUGAAAAAUCACCUAGAAAUCCCAACAUUAUGCCAACAUUAUGAUAAUUUAUUUUGUUAGUUUUCAGUUGUCAAUUGUUUAUUUUUUUAUCUUAAAAUUUAGUUAUUGGAUGCUAUUCUCUUUCAUGCUAUAUUUUUUUAUUCAACCUCAACUACUUCAAAUUCAUUCACUUUUAUUCCUUGGUGAAAUUUGACAAAGGAAAAAAGCAUAUGUGUGUUAUUGAAUUUGCAAAAUAAAUGCUUAUUAGAAAUUUAAAAUAACGUGACAUUUUUUUUAGUUAGUCUAAUUUUUUGGUUAAAUAUUUACUCAAAAAUCUCCAACUCCUUAAUCAAACCAGUAAAAUUAUAGGCAAUUCACUCUAUUCCUUUCACGCUCAUAGAAAAGCACACACUCCUUAUUUUCCUUAUCAUUUAUCUCAUGUUCAAAUUAUUUUUUUAUCUUCUCUCAUUUUCUAAUUUAUUUCAUAACUUUUCAUGAAAGAAAGGAACAUAAACCUACCUCCAUUAAAUCACCACUAACCCACUUUCUUUACCAUGAUAUGUCUUCAUCUAAUUUUAUUUGGCUUUGUUAUCAAAUCACAUAAGGGGAGAGUAUCACACUUAAAGGGAAAGAUGUUAAUAUGUCUUAUAUGAGUUAUACUUUCAAAUUAGAUGCAAGAGAAUACAGUGACAAAUAUAUAAGUGAGAUGAUCCAUAAAUCCAAUGCCUUUAAAAUUUGAAUGAAGAUGUGAUGUUAAUCUCGCUUGAUUAAUUGCUCUUAGUCUAAUGUGAUUAUGCAACUCAGUUUGCGCCAUUAAACAAAAUAGGUGCUCACCUUGUAUCAAACCUCUGCCUAAUCUAAAUCCAUCUAUAAAACUACCAUUAAACAAAAUCAUGCGUCUUUUUUAAAUCGAUCUUGCAUAGAAUAAACUUUUUCUUUAGCCCUUCCUGUAUCAUCCAUGACUUCAUUCACAAUAUAAAAAAAUUGUCGACCUUCACAAAUGUUAAUUGGGUAUCCAAAACGGCCUUCUCAAUAACUGUCUUCAAUCUAUUUGUUAGAACCUUCGUUAUAAGACUUUGUGAACGCAACCCACUAAAGAAGUAAGACAAAAAUCCGACAAACUUUGUUGACUAUCUUUUUUGGAGAUUAAGACUCUGUUUGGUAAAAAGAAGCUAUAAGUCAGCUGAUAGCUGAUAAGUUAGUUGAUAGCUGAAAAACUAGUUUAUAGUUGAUGACUGAUAGUUGAUAGCUUAUAGCUGAAAAACUCACUUAUUAAAAAUAAUGUGUUUGAUAAAAUUAAUUGUUGAAGUGACUGAUAAGUAUAAAAUGACAUAAAAAGACAUGUUUUUAUUUUGUUUUUUUUCUUCAUAAAUUACACAUGAUAUUUUUUACUAAAUGUAUUUCUUUUUAAUUAUUUUCAUCGACAAUAUGUUAAAAUAUAGUAGUACUUUAUGAAUUCAAUUUGACAUUUUUUAUUGAACAAUUUUUUUUUAUGAAUUUUAUUUAAUUAAAAUUGCUUUACUAUUUAUUGUAAACCAAAAAAAAAUAUGGAGCAACAAAAGUAUAAAAAGUGUGAGAUGACAUUUAAAAAGUUCCCUAAAACAAGUGUUAUAAAACGUCCAAUAAAAGAAAGUGAAAUCCUUGAGGAAAAAAAAAAAAAAGUGAAAUCAAACGUGGUUAGAACGUGGGUAGUUUUGUUUAUUAAAAAUUAAUAAGGUUAAAAUUGGAUGAAAGAAUAAAAAGCUACAAGUUAUAUGCUCAAAAGCUACUUGAAUUAGCUUUUCAAUAAGCUAGUCCAAUAAGUUAUAAGCUAGCUUUUUUGUGUUACCAAACACACCCAAAAUGGACAAGAAAAUUUAAAAAGCCAUACAUGGUAAACAUGGUUAGUUGAAGAAGAUAGUGGGUAGUUUUUUUUUAUUAUAAUAAAAUAAAAUAAAAUUAAGAAAAGGUUAAAAUGGGAAGAAAGUAUAAAAAGCUACAAGUUAUAAACUAAAAAGCUACUUGGAUUGGCUUCUUAAAAAACGCUAUAAGCUAAUGAGAAAAGCUUUUUACCAAACACGUCUCAUUUUAUCAAAACAAGCUUAUAAGCUAGCUUAUUUGUGUUACCAAACACAACCUAAAACGAUAAAGGUACAAUUUGAUAAUUUCAUCGUUUACAAUUUACACGAAACUCAUGCAGGAAUCUCAAAUAAUCACCUUUAUUAUUGCUCCAAUAUUCCUUCAAAAAUAAAAAAUAACUCCAUCUAACUUAAGACUUUUGUCGCUAUCAUAGUCUCUCAAAAUUGUUAAAUCUGAGAUUAAUUUUUAUACAAUGACAAUGCAAAACCUUUUUACAUGUGCAUUCAAUUCUAUCGUACAAGAUAAAUAUCUGUUGAGAUAUUUUAAAAAUAAACCACACGAAAUAGGAUUAAAGAAAUAAAAUCUAAAAUCUUUCAUUUGUCGAAGUUUAUUAGUGAUAAAAAUGAAAGAUACUAUGGAACCAAAAAAUCAAAAAACUUAAGAAACGACGUGAGUCGGGUUUGAAACCAAGUCAUAUAUUUACAUGUGUAAAUUAGACUAUUGUGAUUUUAUUUAUCUACUAAAAAGAAAAUCUUGCCACCGAUAUACCAUUUUUCGACUAAUACCUCAAAUUCGUCCUUGAAUUUUGAAAAAUCGGUCAAUUUCGUCCCUGAAUUUUGCGAAAUAUCAAAUUAGUUCCUGAAUUUACAAAAUGUCAAUCAAACCAGUCCCUCCGUUAAGUUGGUCUGUUAACAGAGGUGACGUGUCACGUUAACCUCUGACAAAACUUACCACGUCAGAUGUCACGCAAGCAGGGACCAAACUGAUUGAUUUACACAAAAUUUCGAAGGACGAAAUUGAUGUAUUUACACAAAAUUUCCAAGGACCAAAUUGAUGAAUUUUCAGAAAAUUGGCAACGACUCUUUCCCUUCUUUGUGAGUAACGACUCUUUCUCCACUUCUUCAUUAAAGGCUAUUUCUUCCCCAAAUAUAUAAAUUUGGAACCCUAAUGUUAUAAUUCCUUACAUAGAGUUCAAAAUCCCAAAAUUUCUUCCAUGAAUUGAUGUAAAAUUUCUUCCCCAAUUCAAAAAACUUAGAACCCUAAUUUUUUUGGUUAAAUUUGAAAUUCAUAAAUCAAGUGGUCUGCCUUGUAGAUUCGGUGUUUAGAAUUGAUGGGUGGUGCGCGAAUGGGUCCUUGAAUUAUAUUCAUAUCCAUCAUUUCGAUCCUCAAAUUAGUGAAAAUACCAUCAAAUUGGUCCUUGAAUUAUCAUAACAGAUAUCAAUGUGAUCCUUUGUGCAUACAUUUGCUGAACAAAGUAAAAUGUAAAAGACAAACACUUUGAUUAUAAAAAGACAAACAUUUGCAUUAUAUCAUAAGUCAAUAUUCGAUGUUAAUAAGUCAUUACAUAGCCAAAAAAACAACAGUACAUAGCCAAAAAAGCAUUAACUAAACUAGUCCAAAAACAUAAUUAAAACAUGCAUCACUGUUUUGGAAAUCUUGGAGUUGGGAUAAACUCCAUGUAUUGGGGUUGAGUAGAAGUGGAUGGCCCGUAAUUUGGAUUUGGAACUCUAACAACAUCCUCUUGUUGCACCUCAGUAGCAACAUUCUCAACAACAGUUUCCACACUUGCCACAUUACUUUGUACUUGUUCUUCAGACUCAGUGUCAAUCCAAUUCUUUGGUCUCCUAGCCACACCUUGCUUUGCACAACUUCUUGAUUAUAUGUCCCAUCCAAUUCUCAAUGUGGAAGAUGUGGAUUGACAUUCGCGCACCACCCAUCAAUUCUAAACACUGAUUCUACAAGGCAGACCACUUGAUUUAUGAAUUUCGAAUUUAAUCAAAAAAAAUUGGGUUUCUAAGUUUUUUGAAUUGGGGAAGAAAUUUUACAUCAAUUCAUGGAAGAAAUUUUGGGGAUUUUGAACUCUAUGUAAGGAAUUAUAACAUUAGGGUUCCAAAUUUAUAUAUUUGGGGAAGAAAUAGCCCUUAAUGAGGAAGUGGAGAAAGAGCCGUUACUCACAAAGAAGGGAAAGAGCCGUUGCCAAUUUUCUGAAAAUCCAUCAAUUUGGUCCUUGGAAAUUUUGUGUAAAUCCAUCAAUUUCGUCCUUCGAAAUUUUGUGUAAAUCAAUCAGUUUGGUCCCUGCUUGCGUGGCAUCUGACGUGGUAAGCUUUGUCAGAGGUUAACGUGACACGUCACCUCCGUUAACAGGCCAACUUAACGGAGGGACUGAGUUGAUUGACAUUUUGUAAUUUCAAGGACUAAUUUGAUAUUUCGCAAAAUUCAAGGAUGAAAUUGGCCGAUUUUUCAAAAUUCAAGGACGAAUUUGAGGUAUUAGUCACCAUUUUUCUAUCGUGAUAUUUUUGUGAGUGUCCUUCUUUCUUUCUUUUUCCCACAAUAUAAAUGUUUUUUUGGUUACGGCAUAAUAUAAACGUGAUAUGUCAAAUCUUUUUUAUCUUUUUAGAAAAUUGAUAUGACCAACUUAUAUGUUGACAGUGUGGUGAGGUCACCCGCAUGGUUGUGGUUCUGCCAAGUGCCAAUAAAUCAUAUCAUAUGAAACAGAAGCCGCAAUCAAGGGUUACAUGCCUCAUCAUUAUUUGCAUAGAUGGAAAGCAAAGCUAUUAUGAUUGGUACAGUGAUGGGGAUUUGAGUACUAAAUUUGAGGUUUUAGGUUCAAAUCUUAUUGUCUUCGGUGUAACAAAAAAAAUAAAAUUGUAUCAACAAUGAAUUGAUCCAAGUGGUUGAUAUAUAAACCGUUUAUGCAUGUAAUUAAAGAUUCGAUUUCUAUUACUUGCAUAUUCAUAAAAUUCAGUUGGAAGAACCCGUCUUUUAUGCCUUGUACAUGUUCUUCGACUGAACGAAGAUUAACCAUAUCGACAGUGGAAACUACAUAUCUAUAUAUAAUGAAAAUAGUAUAAAAAAAACAACAUUUGUAACAAAAAACCCAACCAUACCAACCAUCACUUAUCAAUUAGAUAAUAUUCCUCAAUUAAAAAUAGAUUUAAAUAUGUUUUUAGUCCUUACACUUUCAUCAGAUUUUGGCAUUGGUCCCUACACUUUUUUUUAUUUGGAGUUGGUCCCUGCACUUUGUAAAAAUAUUGGUAUUGGUCCCUCUAUUAACUUUCUAUUAAAAAAAACACAAAACUAUUGAUAUUGGUUCCUGCACUUUGUAAAAAUAUUGAUAUUGGUCCCUGCACUUUGUAAAAAUAUUGAUAUUGGUGCCACGUGGCGUGAAAUGAUUGGGCCACGUGGCACUCCGUUGGUUUUGUGUUUUUUUUUUAACAGAAAGUUAACAGAGGGACCAAUGCCAAUAUUUUUACAAAGUGCAGGGACCAAUGCGAAACAAAAAAAGUGCAGGGACCAAUGCCAAAAUCUGAUGAAAGUGCAGGGACCAAUGACACAUUUAAACCUUAAAAAUAUAAUUUUUUUUACAAUAGCUGUGUUUUGUCAAAAAGGAUCCUAUAAUAAGGGAUGAAAGCAGUAACAUUUAUAGUUAAGUCACUUAGAUAUAUGAUUAUUGAUUUUCAGUCUUUAAUCAUUAAUAUAUGAAAGGUUCAUUUCAGAUUUUUUUGUGCACGGCAAAUUGGUGUAAGGUUUGAAUUGCACUUCUAUUGUUUUGAUUCCUAAAGUGAUUAGCCCCCAAAAUUAUCCAUCUAUCGACCAAUAUAUCUUGUGGGAUGUAUGUAUGAGAUUUGACCUAAAGUCCUAGCGAACAUAUUGAAUUGGUCAUUGACAGUGUGAUCUCUGGAGCACAUAUGGCAUUUGUUAAGGUUGGGUUGAUCCUAGACAGCAUAACUAUUACAAAUGAGAUGGAGAGCAAUUAAUAAGAGAAUUCCCACUAACCAGUGGCAGUUUCACCGCCCGGCGAUCCCGGGCACGCGCCCGGGCUAUGACCCAAAUUUUUUGCAAUUUUUUAAUGUAAAUUCCUCUGAAGGAAUUUCUUAUAUAAACCCCUAUAAAUUGGACAAUUUCUUUAAAUUUUUUGAUUAUUUGCUUGCAAUUUCUUAUGUAAACACCUGUAAAUGUGUUGCAAUUUUUUUUUGCCCAGACUUUGUAAUAAUCCUGGCUCCGCCACUGCCACUAACGACGACUUAAUUCGAAGAGGAGUGAUUCCCUAUGAUUUGGUUUUGUACUCGAGCGGGUGCAGAAACAAUCAAUCUUCUAUUUUUGGAUUACGACUUCUUUGGUAGCAUUUGACAUCUCAUUCUCGCUGGUUGGGUAUAGCUAUCGUUGUUCCAUCAAAUAUUAGAUGUCACACUGAUAAGUGCUCAAAAUGAUCUAAUUCAUGUGUUAGUUUAGGCAUAUUUGAUGAGUUGUUUUACAAAUUAUUGAUGGAAAAGCUUCAAUUAUGUGCCUAAAUGUCAUUUAUGCUUUGCAUGCCUUACUUUACCCUUUUUGUGCAGGAAAAUACAAGCAAGGACCAAAAAUAUUAGUUUUGACCGAAGACAACACGCCAUAAGCGUGUUCCAAGCCAAAAGCCUAGAAGCCAGAAUUCAAGAAACUCGCCAUAAGCGAGUCUUUGGCCAUUGGCGAGUUUUCUCCAGAGGCUACACGCCAUAAGCGUGUUCAUGGCGAGUUCAAGAGAUCCAACAGGAUAAGGGGCACGUGGAGCAUAACCAUUGGAGCAGAAGCUGAUUUCGUGCAUCUCGCUUAUGGCGAGUUAUUUUGGCCAUAAGCGAGUUGUCCAAACACAACCCAUAUAAAUAGUUUUUCCUUCUCUCUUGCUAUUCAAUUACAUUUUUAUUCAUAUUUUUCUGGUUUUAGAGAGAGACUAGGGCUUUUCUAGAGAGAGAAACACAAAGCAAGAUAGUUAGGAGUAGAUUCAAGCCAAGAUUUGUUGAGACAUCAUGGAUCUUGUCAUGGAAUCUUCACCCUUUCUUCAUCCUUUGCAAAGCUAUCAUAAACAUAUGUAGCUACAUCUACUCUUGUAGUUUUGAUGUAUUCAAACAAGCUAUUAUGUAAUCUUUUGAUCUUUUAAUAUAUGGUUCUAGCUUAUUUAUUCAAUAUUGUUGUUAUUCUUGCUUUUAUUGUUUUAUUGAGAUUCAAAAUGAUACGGACACAUACUUUUGAAUCUAGAAAUAGAAUAACAAUCUAUCUUAAGUUAUCACGCUAGACAUGGAUGUUAAUAUUUGAUAAUCACUUUUAAUCUAUAACUUAAUGCUUUUGGGUAAUUUAAUCGGUUGGGAAAUCGUCGAUUAAACUACCCAAUCAACGUUGUGAUCGUUUAAAUGUUUGGGAAAUCAAUGUUUAAACGAUCCCUUAGAAAUAACGAUAUCAUUUGGACACGAAUGAUAUUGUCGAGUGAUUGUGAUAAUAUAGUUUAAAAAGCUAGAAUCCGUUAAUCGAUCGAGAGAUUGCAGCUGUUACGCUUGGUUGAUGUCUCUGACCGCAAGCGGAAUAGCCCUAUCUCUUCUCGUUUUACUUUUAUGUCGAUUAGGUAAAUAGUUUUACACAAACAAACAAUUUAUACCCAAACACUUAACGUGACAAAUAUUGUGAAAAUGCUUAUGAAAUACGCAACUCCCUGUGGACACGAUCCUAUAUAUACUCAUGUGUAAAUAGUUUUAUGAGAGGUAAAAAUCCUUCAUCACACACGCAACAACUUUUUGGCGCACAUGUUUUUAGGAAGGACAUUUGCUUUUGUUUUCAGGUAGUGUGGUUGGCCUAUCUUUGGGGUCAUAUGGAAGGAGCAUAACUCGGGAAUUUUCAAGAACAACGUGUCUUUAAAGAAUCAACUUCUUGAUGGCAUUAAGCUUCAUUCUUAGUGGCGGCUAAAGAUGCAUAAACCAAAUUUCUCUAUUGAUUUUUAUUAUUGGUUGUCUACGUUGUAUAAGUUAUACCAGUUUGUAAUCAUGGUUUCUGUCUUUGACGUAUCUAUUAUUUAAAGUUGUGUAUAAUUUCAUGUUAGACACAUCUUAUACUUGACUUGUUUAGUUUUUAAUAUAUCUUGCAUUUGACUUAUUAGAAAAAAUCAUUAAUCUAAGAAAGAGUAUUAGAAAAUUCAACCUUAGCUUGACUUAAUUGAAUUUUCUUACGUUGACUACUAGCUUCCAAAAAUGAUACCUUAGCUACUAUUUAAGAAUUUUGUUUGUUUAUAUAUUUUGGCAAAAGUUUUGUCUGUUUGUUUAUUGAAUAAAGUAUAUAGUAGUAUAAUAGAAGAAAAGGUGGUUGCAGAAGAAAAGCAGGAAGAGGAGGUGUGGCGGGAAGCAAAACAGAACACUCCUCUGUUUACGGCCAUCCGAUAAGUUCGGAAAGAAACUGAUAUUAUAUUAAUAAAAAAUAAAGCAAAAUCAAAUCUCAUAAAGUAACAAAAUAUAUAUACACAUAUUAGUUUUUCUUUCACGAGAAAUCUGCGGAACUCAUUGAAUUAAAAUUAUAUUACGUAUCUCUUCCGAUUCAUCUUUUUCUUUUCUUUCUCAUUCAUUCAUUCAUUGCUAUCGCUUUCUCUCUCUCUCUCUCUCUCUCUCUCUCUCUCUCUCUCUCUCUCUCCGUGUCGUUGUUGUUCAUCUUCAUCAUCGCAACACCACAACCGUAAUCAUAGCUUCCUUACGAUCGCUCAGCAGCAUGAAGGAUAAAGAUAGAGAUAAGGAAAAGGAAACAGAGAAGAAAAAGUAUCCUAUCGGAGCCGAACAUUAUCAACUUUACGAAGAGAUUGGUCAAGGCGUUAGUGCUUCCGUUCAUCGCGCUCUCUGUGUUUCUUUCAAUGAAAUCGUCGCCAUCAAAAUUCUCGACUUCGAACGCGACAACUGCGAUCUGGUACCUUAUUUUUUCAUUCAUAUUAAUAUUUUAAUUCUAAAUUGCUUUCGCCACGGUUUUAGUUACGCUGCAAACUUCUACAUUGCCUAUGCAUCGUGAUUUUAAAUUGCGAUUGCAGUCGAUGCUGUCUCAUGUGUUUGUGAAAAUCUCUAAAACCUUUAUUUUAUGGUCAUAAUUGCCGUUGCAGAACACAGUUUAGAAUAAUGAUUAAUAUCUUUGUACACAAGAGAUUAAUGAUGUUAUUUUUUCUUCUACAUAAUUUCUGAUGAUUAAUGGUUUAGUUAAUUAAUACCAAUCCUCAUCAAUCUUUCAUAAUUUAUUCAUAGUUUUGGCUCCUAUGCAUUACAAUUAGGCUAUUUUGACCCAUAACAAAAUAAAUUACAACUCAACCCCUAAAGUAUUGUCCUUUUGCAUUUUUGACUUUCCAACAUAUAAGUGGCACCUCAAUUAAGUAAACAUAUUUAAAUUUUUAAUUAAAAAUAAAUAAAAAGCUAAACCAGCAACAAAUAAAUGAAAGGAAUAUGGAAGAAACAUCCAAAAAUUAAAGCAUUUGAUUUUGAUGAAUCUGUUUUUCUUUUCUGGCUUUCUUUUGAAAAGCUAAACCAGCAACAACAAAACAACAUGAGAAAUUGUGUUUGUUUUCUCAGCACCAUCACCACCAAGAUUCUUCUUCUUGUUGUCUACUACUACUACUUGGACGGAGCCUUUGUUGUUCUUCUUAUAUGUUACUCUUUCGAACAACAACAAUGAAAGAAGAAGCAGCUCCUUCCAUUUUUCGACUGCGUUUAGCGGUGGUUUGUUGCUUUUCCUUCUUCGCUAACUCCUCCGCUCCCUCCGUUGCGUUUGUUCUCUGUUUCUUUCUAGAAUAAUAAUAAAGGAUAAGAGGUUUGUUAAUCGUCGUCACUGUGUUUUGUCUUCUUGUCCUCACAAAAAUGAAGAAGAUGCUUCUUGCUCUGAAGACAACAACACAAUGACGACGAUUAACAAACCUCAUACCCUUUAUUACUAUUCUAGAAAGAGACCGAGAACAAAUGCAGCGGCGUGAGCGGAGGAGUUAGUGAAAAAGGAAGAACAACAAACCACCGCUAAACGCAACGAAGGAGCUUCUUCUUAUAAGAAGAAGAACAACAAAGGCUCCUGUCCUAGUAGAGUAGUAGACAAGAAGAAGAAAUGUUAGUGGUGAUGGUGCUGAGAAAAUAGACACAAUUUCUCAUGUUGGUAAUGGUUUAGCGAUUUAAAAAAUUCCUCAAAAUCAGAAAAGAAAACAGAUUCCUCAAAAUCAAAUGCCUUUAAUUUCUGAUUGUUUCUUCCAUUUUCCUUUUUUAUUUAUUUGUUUAAUUCAGUAAAUAUACAUUUGGCUUUUUUAUUUAUUUUUAAUUAAAAAAUUACACACGUUGCAUUCUACUCACUUAACUGAGGUGCCACAUGUGCGUUGACUCGGUCAAAAUUGGCGUAGAGGGCCAAAGCUACAAAAGUGGCGGUACUUAAGGGGCUGAGUUGUAAUUUAUUUUGUUAGGGAGCCAAAAUCGCCAAAUUGUGAUACUUAGGUGGCCAAAACUGCUAUGAAGCCUAAUUAAUACCAUAAUUUAAAUUAUUUUGUGGUAGUGAUUAGGGGUGGGCAUGGUUGAGUUCGGGAUGAAAAAUGAACCGAACUAAACUGAAUUGUUUGCUAAAUUUAAAAUAACUGAACUGAACUGUUUGCAUUUUAAAUUGAACUGUUUCAAACCGAACUGAAAAAAAUAUGAAAAAAACAAAUGAAAUUGAAUUUUAGUUACAAAACUGAACUAAACUGUCUGAACUGUUUUGAACUGAACUGUUUCAGUUAAGUUUCAGAUGGUCAGUUUUUUUGUUGGUUUAGUUCAGUUUUUGGUUUUUUUGCCCACCCCUAGUGAUUACUCUGCGAACCUUUGUAUCUUAACAAAAAAAAUGUCUAUGUAAACAUCACUCAAUUGAUAGGAUAUUACAUGUAAUAUAAAAGGGUCAGAGGUUUGGAUUUCUUUCUUAUUCACCUUAUUAGUGAAUUUCCUGACAUUAGACUAUUUGAUAUAAAUAAAAAAUGCACGAGACACAUCCAUAGUUUUAAAUUGGGAUGUUGAUGUGGUCGUGGCUAUGGUUGCAGUGCAACAUAGUGUUGUUGUAGACAUUACUACCACAAUUUAAAACCAUGGAACCAGCUCCAAUGAAAUGCGGUUCACAAUUUAGAAUAAUGAUUAUUUUUUUAACAAGAAAUUAAUGAUAUUAUGUUAUUGUCAUAAUUUUAAAUCGUGUUGUUCUAGUUACGCUGCAAGGUUUUAUAUUAUAGAAGCACGAUGGUUUUAAACUGCGGUUGCAGUUUGAUGCAAAUGGUUGUAGUGCAGCUUUAUGUAACUGCAUACAUUACUGCAACAACAAUAUUUUGGCUGCAUCUUGUGGUCCACAAUUUAAAACCCUAGAUGAAGUUGUACGAAUCUCUAAAACUUUUAUAUUGCUGUCACAAUUGCGGUUAGAAUACCACAAUUUAGAAUUUUUUUUUAAAGAAAUUAUUGUUAGUAUUUUUUUUUCUUUCAUCAAUGUCUGAUGAUUAAUUGUGUAAUUAACUAUUAAUGGAAUGAUUAAUGGAUGAAUGAAUGCAGAAUAAUAUAUCUCGUGAAGCACAAACAAUGGUACUAGUGGACCACCCUAACGUGCUAAAAUCACACUGCUCAUUCGUGAGUGAUCACAAUCUAUGGGUUGUGAUGCCAUUCAUGUCGGGUGGUUCAUGUCUUCACAUAUUGAAAGCUGCACAUCCUGAUGGAUUUGAAGAGGUUGUUAUUGCAACUGUGCUCAGGGAGGUAUUGAAGGGUUUAGAGUAUCUUCAUCAUCAUGGUCACAUUCACCGUGACGUUAAGGCGGGUAAUGUUCUCAUUGAUUCUCGCGGUGCGGUUAAGCUCGGUGAUUUCGGUGUAUCUGCUUGUUUGUUUGAUUCCGGUGAUCGGCAAAGGUCGAGAAAUACUUUUGUUGGCACACCUUGUUGGAUGGCCCCUGAAGUCAUGGAGCAAUUGCAUGGUUAUAACUUCAAGUAUUGUGUUCUUUCUAUUCUUUUAAUUUCUUUUAUCAUAUAAUAAAAUACUUAAUAUAUACACUAUUUAAAAUGGUUUGCCACCCCAAAUUGUAACGGUGGUUUCUAUUGUUUUUUUAAUAUCUUCCAACUGCAAUUAAUUGAUGCUGCACAACCGAGUAAUAUUUGAUGACAUUUCUAUACCAUAUUUAGGAUUUUCAUGCUGCUACAAUCAAAUAAUUUCAUUAGUAUUUGAGAAAAAAUUUCUACAAUAUCUCAUUGAUGGUAACUACACCAAGGGUUUCAAGUUGUGGACCACAUCAUGUGUCGCGACUACAGCAUUACCGUUUUGGUAGCACCAGCUCGCAAUUGAUCCCCCUCCAAAUGAGUUUUUGCAUUUUGAAUGAUCGUGAGUGCAUCAUUAUAACUUUUGAUUAAAAUUUUCAUUAUAUGGCCGUGGCUUCAAUAUUGUGGUUGUGGGCCGCAAUCGCAUCAGCUCACAAUUGCCCCUCCAAGAGUUUUUGCAAUGUGAAUGAUUGGGAGUGUGUCAUUAUUAUUUGAAAUGAGAUGCUAUUCAUUACGAAUGCCCGUAACACGAAACGCCAGAACCAUUUAUUUUAAAAUAAGUCAACAAUAUUUUAAGUUGUCUUUGAUGGAAUACAUGAGGUAUCGGAAGUGGAACCACUAAAUAGAAGCACUUUCACUAAACGGAGGUCCCAUAAUAUCAAUGAUUUUGUCGUAACACAUUCCAAAACCUUGUUUAAUUACCCUGGCUUAUUGACAUGCUGGCAAUAAUGACAUUCAAAAUUAAUCUUGCAGAGCUGACAUUUGGUCAUUUGGCAUAACUGCAUUGGAGCUUGCCCAUGGCCAUGCUCCUUUCUCAAAAUAUCCACCAUUGAAGGUGUGUGUGCACAUACUAUCAUAGUAUUUGCUAUAAGCACUCAAAAUUUUAUCCCAUUUUUCUGUUUAAUUUCAUAAUAAUUAAACUUUCCAGGUACUGCUUAUGACUUUGCAAAAUGCACCUCCAGGCCUUGACUACGAAAGGGACAAGAAGUUCUCUAAGGUCAGCCCAGUUCAGUUUGAUUCCAUCAUUUGCUGAUUGCUCCUGUAAGCAAACUAAACCCUUCUAUGAUUUUUACUAGCUAAUAUCUUUAUUCCUUUUUUCUUUUCAGUCUUUUAAGCAGAUGAUUGCUUGUUGUUUGGUAAAAGAUCCUUCAAAACGACCCUCUGCUAGCAAGUUGUUAAAGCAUUCCUUCUUUAAGCAAGCUCGCUCCAGUGAUUAUAUUACGCGAACUCUUUUGGAGGGCCUGCCUGCUUUGGGUGAUCGCAUGGAGAUUCUAAAGGUUGCUUUGCUUCCACUUUAAGUUAAUAGCACAUAUCUUAUAUAUUUAUAUUUGCACCCUCCCAGUUCCACCCUUGUUAUGAUAUAUAAUAUAAUAUUUAUUUAUGAGGUAACUUGUAUGUCACAGAGAAAAGAAGAUAUGCUUGCACAAAAGAAAAUGCCUGAUGGGCAGAUGGAGGAAUUAUCACAGGUGCGAAAUUACAAUGUCUAUAUCUAACUUACUGCUAUCUGAUGCAAAAAAUAAAAUAGUACUCUAUUUGCUUCCCCCAUGUACUUGUACUCAACAUUUCCCACAAUAAGACACCUUUAAAAAUUCUAGUUAUAGUUAUUAUUGUGUUAUACCUAUUUGUUGCCCAAUCCAGGCUGCAAGCAGACUUGAUCAGAGUCAGAUAGUAUGUCUGUUUUUGUCUGUUUGUGUGUGUGUGUGUGUGUAUGCUCUACACUAUAAAGUACAUCAAAUGGAUUUAAUUAGUUAGCUUAGUUUUUCUUUUUUGAUGAUGCUUUUUAUGGUUAUUUUUCUCAUUGCUACCGGUUACUGAAUUCAUGGCAAGCUUAUAACACCAUUGUGCUGUGUUCAAUCCCUGUACUGCAGAAUGAAUACAAACGAGGUAUUAGUGGCUGGAACUUCAAUCUUGAAGAUAUGAAGGCUCAGGCUUCCUUGGUACAUGUCAUGUCUAAUAUUACACUUUCAUACACUCAUCAAGUUAAACAAAAUCUUACUAUGGUUUUUAUUUAUUCUAGAUCAACGAUUUUGACGAUGCUAUGUCAGAUAUCAGUCAUGUGAGUAGUGCAUGUUCCUUAACUAAUCUUGAUGCUCAAGAUAAGCAACUGCCAAGUUCAAGUCAUAGUCGUAGCCAAACUGCUGACAUGGUAUUGUUUUUACAAAUUCAUUUUUUAUUUAGUAGGAUUAGGAUUAUAUUUGAAAUGUAAAUUUAUAAAUAUAGCUGAAACUUUCCUUUCUCUUAUUUUUCAUUGUUAACAAGAAAAUUUUGUUAUUGAGGUAGUUCUAAUGGCUAACUCUUUUUUUGGUACAAGUUCUAAUGGCUUCUUCUUUACAGGAGGAAAGUGAUGAAAUGCAUAAUCAACUAGCUUCUGUUCCGGAAGUUGAUUCCACAAUAAACGAUGUCAAGUAUGUCUCUAACACAUGUGUGAUGUCACAUUAUUAAUUGCAUUAUACUUUUGAAAUAAUCAAACUCCGACAACUUUUACAUCAUGUGCUAAUGCUUGUAGUGGUUUGGGAUCUUUUAUUUUAAAGUAAACAAAUGUUACAUGUCUUUACAGCUAGAACUAGCACUUUUGUUAAAACAUUGUGGGUCAAUGCUUUUCUAUCUUGCCAUUUCCAGGACAAGAAUUGAAAAAUCUGAUGAUGACUCCAGCAUCACAAGCUCAAGCCACGAACCACAAACUUCUUCCUGUCUUGAUGAUCAUGUGGACCAUAGUUUAGGUGAUAUGGAAAAUGUUGGAAGAGCUGCUGAGGUUGUUGUGGCUACUCAUCCUCCUCUUCAUAGGAGAGGAUGUUCAUCAAGCAUAUUACCGGAAGUUACUCUUCCACCUAUUCGAGCAGAAAGGUAAAUACUCAAAUUAUGCAUUAAGUAUAUUUAAUUUUAUUUUGAAUUAAUUUAAAUAAUCUUCCAAUUGAAUUAUUUAUUUCAGAAAACUGCAUUAGUUGUAUAAUUAUUGACAUUGGGCCAGUCUCGGCAUUUGGCUGAUGUGGAUUUGUUUCUUAGACGGUUGCUCUAUGUGCCUCUUGGAUUACUCAACCCCUAAAUAAGUCGAUCCGGAGAUAGCUUCAGACGAAAAAAAGCUGAUCGGAUUGUAUCUUCCAAUAUGUUUUGUGAGAUUAGGAGAUACGAUCCGAUAAAUCAAAGAGUUUUGAGCGAAACUGAGAGACUCAUAGAGCAAUUUCCUGUUUUUUAACCCCUUUGACGGGCCUGUUGAUUUUCUCACCCAAUAAAAAUUUAGGCCCAACCAAAAGGAAUUAAGCAACUCCAAUUUGGUUGUCCUCUUAGAAAUGAUAGAGAAUAUUUCAAACACUGAUGUCUUUCAAAUUUCCAUCAUUCACACUCCAUUUGUUCAGAUUGGUUCUUCUUCAAUGACAAAUAUUCAAAUUUCAAUCGUAUACUUCAUCUUUCAUUUUAUUCUAUUUCACUAUCAUGUUUAAACAUAAACCAUUAGUUUUAUAAUUUUCAAUCUUUUUGUUAAGCAAAUCAAACACUUUUUCUAAUCUAUCAUCAGCUUUAAUAUUUAGCAAUAUCAAUGACAGUGAGAAGCUACAAAAUCUGUCUACAAACGUCUCAAGUGCCAAUGCAAUUUUAGUAACACACACAGGAGAUGAUGUGCUUACUGAGCUUCCUUCUAGAGCCUCCAAAACAUCAGGUAGCUCUGCUCACAUUACUUUGUCUAAUUGCAUGCAUGCCUUGUUUUCAAUUUCAAGGGAGCAACACAUAUUUUGUGCCCUUGAAGUCCUCAAGGAUCACUAUUUAACUCCUGCAUUUCCUUCUAACUAAUCAUUUCUAUAACAGCUAAUUCUGAUGACACUGAUGAUAAAGCAAAGGUACCAGUUGUUCAACAGAGAGGACGUUUUAAAGUUACAUCUGAGAACGUUGACCCGGAGAAGGUAAGAAAUAACUUUCACCGAUCAUUCUACUUUCUUGAAAACUGAAUACUAAGAUUUCUUUCAGGCGACCCCUUCUCCUGUACUGCAAAAGAGUCACAGCAUGCAGGUUGGUUGUUUAGAGGUUUGCACACCUGUCACCUAUUCUUCUUUAGUUGAUGAAAACCCCAAAAAUAUAUGUUCUGCUAUGCUCGAGUUAUAUCUUCUUCUUUACUGUAUCUUAAUGAUAGUGAUAGUGACAAUGAUAGUGAUUGUGAUAAGGUCCAAAAGGAUAGAUCAAUGUUUUUCAGCUUUGACUGUUAGAGGUAUAAAUCGGUUGAGUGUAUGUCUGGUUUGACAGCUAGUUUGAGGAAAUCAUUGUGUGCCACCAUGAUUUUGGCAACAUCCACACUUAAGAAAUUACAAGAUAUGAUUUCGUCAAACUCGGUGUGAUUCCAAACAUACACGAAAUCAAGUCAACCAUUUGAAUUUAAAGUAUAGGAUUGCUAGUGAAAAACAAAGAGUGCCAAACCUUAACUCACUUAUGUACACUAGACAGAUUUUAAGAUUGAGCCUAAGUUGCUUACGAAAAUGAAGUUUGAAGUCGACUCAUUUAUCAUUUAUGUUUUGACUAUUUGUUUUCUUUAUCAAAAUUCUCACCCAAUAAUUUUCUUAAUUGAUUAAUUUAGUAUGUCAAGCGUCAGAAUUUAAGCUACACUCAGAAAAUUGAGCUUGUUCGUUUAGUUAAAUAAAUGAAUUUGAUCAAACAUUUGAUGACUCACACUCAUAAUACAUGAAUAGCUUAAUCCAUCUUCGUCUUAUUCACUUAUUACAUUACGAUUAAUGAGUGCUAAUGAUGUGAAAGAGGGAAGAAAUAAAAAAAAAAAUGAUUGAAAAGUUGAACAUUUGAUACAUUGGUAACUUAAAAAGCUGCAUUUUUCAAUGAACAUUUUUGAAUUUUGGUUCUUCAACCAGUGCUUGCAUGGUACUUGCUCGAUUAUUGUUUUUGUUGUACUUGGGCAUUAAUGGUGUUUAGUUUGUAAGCAGAAAGUCUUGCUACCAUCUUUUUCAGAAAAAAAUGGAAGUGUUGUUUUAGGUUUAGUAUUAUGUUUUAUUAGGUUAUAUUAAUUAUAUAAUCCUUGUUAUGAAGCAUGAUUCUUUUACAAACUAAUAUGAAGGUAGAUAAAAUUUCUAUACCCAUAUUAGGAAGGUAUAACUCCUAAUUUACUGUAACAUUUUACGCAUUGUAGGUUAUGAGCCAGCAUAAUGCAACUCCUCUACACUCACCUUUACCAUUAUUAUCACCAAUAUCUGAUGCCACGCCAUCAAAUAUUUCUUGCUGUUCUCUGUUCCCUGUGUUGCAUUCUGUGCUGCAGACAAAUAUUCUUCAGAGGGUAUGUUAAGUCUUAUAUGGUUCUAUUCUUUCUCCUUCAGCUAAUGUCCAAGAUUAACCUUCUUUUGUUCAUGACAUUUUAACAGGAAACCAUUCUAACUUUAAUGAAGCAAAUUACUGUGGGUGAAUCUGCUGGUGUGACCUCUAUCUAUUGAUAUUAUUUUUUAUCUUUUUCAUUAAUUUCUGUUAUAUUCAUAAUUUCUUUGUCAAAUUUCUCUUAUAUUCAUAAUUUCUUUGUCAACCGUGCAGCUGAUAACACAAAUGCCCCUGCACAGAUAGCAGCAAUGGAGAAAUCCUUGGUAUGUAUUUAAAGGGCUUGAUUUUUAUCAGUUAGACUCAUUUUCAUUUAUUUGCGAAUGACCUAUGUCUCUCUGGGAAUCAUAUGUACUAUUGGUUGAAGUGUCAAAAUGUUGGAUAAUACAAAAUGCUACUUGAGUUUGUAGGUUUUAAAAUUUAUAAUUUAUAUGAUUAUAUGAUGUAUUUCUCACAAUUGAAUUCUCAAGGUUAGCUUAGUUACAAUUGCAGCUAUCAAUUUAUAAAGUGAUUAGGGUGUAAUUUGUCUAGACUAGAGAGCAAACUGGAAAAUAUUUGAGUCAAAACCUAGGGUACAUAAUUCACUGCGAUUUUUGGUGUGCUGGAGGUAAAUUGGAUUUAAGAUGAAUGGAAGACAGGCCCUGAUCGCUAGUACCGUACAAAUUAGUGAUAAGAACUUGGGUUUUAUAGGAUGCUAAGUCCAUAUUAGUAUGAAAUUUUCGGUGUAGUUAAAUGGUGUGGUUCUUUUUCUUUGACAGCUAACUUUUAAGUGAGGUUUCCCAAGUGUUUGGUGCUUAUCAAUUAGCAAGGAAAUAAGUUGAAUUUGUAAAAUCCAAAUGCAACAAGUUUACUUGCUGUAUUACCUAUAAGUAGACAUUUUUCUUUCUCUCGUUUGUAUUAAGAUCGUUUUAUUUGAAUGCCAUUAUAUCUGCUUUUCCCGGUAUUAAUUUAAAAGAAAUAUCGGCUAUACAUUACUGCAGCUUGAAUCAGCUCACGAGAGGGAAAAGGAGUUGCUUCAUGAGAUAACUGAUUUGCAAUGGAGGUAUUGUAUUAUAAAAGUUAGUUGGAUUAUAUGCUAAAAUAUAGGUGGUUUUACUCAUUAACCUUGCUUUGUAUCAUCUAUAGGCUCAUAUGCACCCAGGAAGAGCUUCAAAAAUUGAAAACAGAUAAUGCUCAGGUAUUAUCAAACGCUUUGGCUAGUAAUAACAUAUUCUUGUGAAUAAUGAUGGACUUCACACUCUUAACUUGUUCUGACCUCUAAAAUCAUAGGUGUGAUUGGAUUGUCAGAAGUGAUUCUGUUGUUUAAGUGGAUGCUUGGAUUUUCCUUAAAUCUAAGUUCUUCGUGGGCACUUAAUAAGUUUGAGGUGUUAGGAGAAAGCAGAAUUGUGACCGGUAGAACAACCAUUUACUAGAAAUUGAGUACUUUGUUACUUUUAGGUUCUUUUUAGGUGAUAAGAAAUUUAUCAUGGUUGCUUGUUUUUUUGGCAGCCUAUUAGCUCCUUGUUAGUGCAGAUUUGUUGUUCAUAAUUAUUUUUGUAAAUGAUUUUAGCAUUAUUUCCUGCUUGUAAAUUAUAGUGCACGUCAUGAAACUUUCUGAACCUACAAAUUUUUAAUUUUUUUUUGGAUAAUGAACCUACAAUUUCUUCUUUAGUAUUCAUUCAAUGCUACUAGAUGCUAUAUUCUUGUAUGGAUAAAAUGCUAUUAGAAUGUAAUGCUUUAUUUUUUAAAAGAACAAUUUCAUAAUUGUGUUUCUUUAUUGAGCGAAAUGUCAUAUUUGCUAUUUCAUGGAGUGAAACUUGAAGUGGAUAAUAAUUUUUUUAAUCAUGUUUUCAAUUUGAGUAGCUUUAGGAUGGACCACAAUUAAACGUGACCAUGAUAAAUCGUCCACUAUUCACCAUUGGUGAUUGUUCUGUGUCUCGUGGACUUCUCAAUUUUUGAAAUAAAUCGAUCGAGAGAUAUCUUCCAAUACAAAAAAAAAAAAAUGCUGAUCUGAUUGUAUCUUUCAAUAAAUUUUGUGCGAUCGAAAAUUACGAUUCAUUAAAUUGUUGAACUUUUAAGAAAAACCGAAGGAUUCAUCAAGCAAUUAGGUUCACCAUUUGAUCAAGUAAGACCACUUAUAUUUUAUUAUGGCAUAGCAAUUACUUCUUAUGGAUGCAUACCUCGAGCCUACUUUGAUAUGGAUUCAUAAGUCGAUAUAGAAAAUCAAAUAUACCAAGAAAGAUAUAAAUUAAUGGAUCCCACGUGAAUAGAGACGAAUCAAGGAAAAUCAAAGAUAGAUUGCCAAUAUUCCUUCAAAGCUGAAGUUGAAGACAUAACUGAUAUACCAGACAUAGCUGAAGAUAGAUUGUUAAUCGUUUGAAAUUCUUUUUACCAGACAUAACUGAUACUUCUGAAAGUGUUUUUGUACCUCUUAGAUUAAUUACUGAUAACGUGUUGUCAGAUUUUGAUGUUUUCAUUUCAUGAGAAAUAAAACUUCUGGGAAAAAAGGUUUUAUGGGCUUGAAAUUGGACACGUCUAAAAUCUAUGACAAAAUUGAAUGACCAUUUCUUAAAACAGUUUCAGCAACAAUGGACCUCUUUGAUUCUGAAUUGUGGCUCGAUUGUCUCUUUUAUUAAGGGUCGAGGCGCUGACCUAAUUAGAUCUCAAUUUCUUAUUUUUUUUCUUCUAAAAUUAGAUGAAAGAUGAUAAUUUUCUAUCAAACAAAUUCAUUAAACUAUUUAUCUGCCCACAUAUCAUGCAUGUGAAUAAAAUAUUUUUCCAUUUGUUAUAUCAGCGAAAGUAGAUUAUUGUGCCAAUAACAUCUCCAAAAAAGAGUAAAAAGAAACAUAAUGCAUACCAUUAUAUUAGUGGAUGUUAGAUGAAUGAUGAAAAACUGGUGGAAGAUUUUCCCAUUUUCAAAAUGAUAUCGGUUAGAGUUGUGUUAUUUGAACAACUUUUUUUAUGACAACUUUUGAUACAACCAUUAAUUUGCAAAGAAAAAGUGGUAUUGGCACAAAAAUCAAAGCAAUAGAGAGAGAAAGCAAAAAUACAAUGUGAAUAUGAGAGAGAAAGUUGUCACAAAAAUUGUCAAAAAUAAUUGUACAAAUAUCAUUUCUACUCAUGUAUAUAAUUAUCUAUAAAUAAUUUAGUGGAAAUGAAUUGAAUAAUAUAUUGGGAUAAAACUUGUGUGACAUAACAUUUUGGUGCAUUAACCAACCACAAUCUUACAAUUGCCUUUCUUCUCUCUCUCUUUUACAAUUUUUUUUUUGUUUUUUUGUACACUUUUGACAUUGUGGUUGGUCAAUGUCACAAUGUUACCAAAUACUAUGUCACCCAAUAUAUUGAUGGGCGGGAACUUCUACGGUUUAUGAGGUGUACCGGUACUCUUGCUCCAUAAAAUUGUAAAUUAACAACCAUUUUAUAAAAUAAAAAGCUAUUUGUCAAUAUUUAUAUUUUAGAAACAUCAUUUUAGAAGAAAAAAAACAUCAUUUCAUUGUUUAUAAGAAUCAUAUUAAAUUUUUAACAUUUUCUCAUAAAAAAUAAUCAAUAUUCUUUAUUAUGAGUAAUAAAAAUACAAAAAAAGUAAAUUUUAUUUCGUCGAAGGUUUUUUUUUUUUGAGGGAAUUUCGUCGAAGCUUUUGGUAAAUAAGAUUUGAUUAUUAUAAUUGUGAAUGAUAGAAAAUAAUUCUUUUUCUUCAAAAAAAAAAACUCAUUUAAUGGUCAAUUUAACGAUUUGGUGUACCGGCACACUCAAAAUUUUGGAUGUACCAUAGAAUUUGCCUUGAUGGGCAAGUAUGACUCUACCACCGUAGUCAAUACUUAUUAAGGUGGUUAGCUUGAAACUUUAGAGUGUCUUUCUCUUUAGGUUUCAGUUUUGAUUACAUCUGAUGUUAACUUUGGUGGGCUAAAUCCAUACAGAGCUACACUCUGGUUUUGAAUACGGCAUCCGUAAGUGGACCGUGAUUGAACCCCUCAUAUUGUUCGGUUUUUAGGCCAAAUACCGUGUUUUUUUAAAAUAAAAUUCUUGAUCAAGGUUUUUGUUUACAUGAAUGUCUUGGUUCUAUUCAAUUUUCACCAACUUUAACAUCUUCUUCGUGAACAAACACUGGAUGUUCAAAACACAAGUAUGUGUCACAUUUAUUUGAGAAACAUGCACUCAAAGCUGCUUCAGACAUAAAGUUGACGUAUUUGUCCCCCUUAAAUAUUCUUAAAUCAAUGCAGAUAUUAUUUAGACCUGAACGCAUCCUUCAAGCCGUGAUUACCAAAAUACUUCAUUGUACAAGAAAGUCAAAAUAAUCAUCUUUUUUUUUUGAAAGACAAAAUAAUUAUCUAACUUUAUGUGUAUCAGAAUCGUAUUCUAUGUCCAUGUAUUUCAACAUUUUAUCUUAAUCUCUUAAAAUAUUACUACGAUUGUGGUAGAUGAAGAUAAUAUAAUUGGCCAACUGUAAAAAUGUUAUUAUCUUUUUGUUGUGUAAAAUCAUGUGUAGCAUACACAAUCCCAUGAUGAUUGAUCAUGCUUAAUUUAAAAAAAAAUAAAAAUCAAUGUGGAUAGUCUAUUUAUAGUGAGACAACAAAGUAACAGGUUCCUUUCAAAAACAAAGUAACAGGUAACACAUGAAAACGAGACUAUGUAAACAACCAAUUAAAAUUCAAAUGAAAGUAAAAAUAGCUUAAAAAACAUGAUAAAAAUGGACGGAUAAAAACAUAUGAGGAUGCUACAAAAUGUUGCUACACUUAGGCAUAUAUAUAAUAAAAUGUUUCUGCUAUUCGGUACCUCCUUCAGAGAUUCAUCAAGAUUCCCUUAUGUAUAAAAGCCACUAAUAAGGUGAAAUGAAGUUGAACAAAGAAUAAACAAUGAGUUAACAACUCCUCUUGUACAUUUUUGCAAUACCAUAUACAACUUGUUAAAUGACCCAAAUAUGGUGAAGAAAAUUGGUUGAAAUGAGAAAGAAUGUGAACAAGAUGGAGAUCAAGGUUGUGUAGAUGCGAAGAGAAAGUGAAUAUUCUUGAGGAAUGUUUGAUUGGUCUUACAAAACUGGGAUGGAAUCAAAGAUAUACACAACUUAAUUAGACUUUCAAUAUUUUCCUUUUCAACCUACACACUAACUAAACCACAUCAUUACAAAAAAUUUGAACAAUGUAUUGACCACCAUCGUAGAGAGAUAUCAAAGUAAAACACAAUAACCACAAAUCAAAACAUAAUAUCAAGACAAAAAUGUGCUUACUUUUACCGGACUUAUUGCUAUUAGAGUUAAAUAAAUUUUUAGUUCCAAUAAAUAUAUCAUAUUUAGUUUUUAAUCCCUCUAAUUUUUCUUUCAAAAGAAUGGUCCUUCAAAUAUUUUCUAUAAGCAUUUUUUGUCCCUGAUUUUAAGUCAACUUAUAUGUAUCCUUCAAUUUUUCUAGAGUUUUUGCAUGCGUAUUUAGAAUUUAUAAGAAACUUUCCAAUAAAAAUAUUUUAUUGUCACAAAUUUAUAAAUUUUCAAUUGUCACAAACUUAAAAAUUCAUAUUUUAUUCAUCCGUCAUUUAAAAAUUUAAACUUUUUCAUGAGACAUUUCUAUAAUGUAUUAAACAUUACUUCAAAAAACAAUUCAAUAUUACAAAGGAUACACAUGAGUUGACCUAAAAACAUGGACCAAAACUAUUAACUUUUAAAGGACGACAAUUUGAAUUAAUUUUUUAGAAGGAUUAAAAACAAAAUAUGAUGUAUUUAUUGAGACCAAAAACUUAUUUCACUUUUAUAUAUAUAUAUAUAUAUAUAUAUAUAUAUAUAUGUAUAUGAAGAGAAAUCACUAUUCACAUUGCGAUCAAAACUUUAUAAACAUAUAAACAGAUGCUUCAUUUACUUUCUAACGAUAUUGUCAUAUGUUAUUUUCAAUUUUUAUGUGUAAAGAUAUUUGGUUAGGAAUUUUAUAAGUUUGAUAAGGAAAGAUGAAAGUUAACAAGAAAAAAAUUCACUUCCGAAAAAACUAAAUACAAUACUUGACAUGUUUUAGAAUUUGUGGAAAUAUUCAAAUUUUUUAAAAUAAAUCUUAAAACACUUCGAUAAAGUGUCUUAUAUAAUAUAAAUAUUUUAUGAGUGGAUAAUAGAUCUUAAAUUAUGAAGAAAUUAAAUUAAACAAAAAAUAUUUAUAAGCUUGAAUUAGCAUUUAAUUUUGAUACAUAGUAUAUUGUAUAUUUGAAGGUCUGCAUGCCCCAACAAAUUUAAAAGAAUAAAGAAAUAUACUCUCUCUCUCUUAACAAGUUAUAGCCUUUGUAUAUAUAGUUUAUAAUUGUUCAUUGAUGGAAGAAAGAGCAUUCCAUUCUCAUUGUUUGAGAGAAGGAGAGAAAAGAGAGAUGUCACGAGAAACGAUGUACGUGAAACACUGUAUGGGCGUUAAUGGGUUAGAGAAGAUCAUUCUUAGAGAAAAUCGUGGCUUCUCUGCUGAGGUAUUAUUUUCAUUUUCCGAUUCAAAAUUAAUAUUCAAAAUUAUCUUUUUUCAAUUAUUCUUUAAUCAUCUCAUUUUCUAUUUCGAUGUAUUUUCACAAUUCAUGCAUGAAUUGAUUACAUCUCUAUCUAAUUUUCUAUUUAAGAUCCACAAAUACAUCAUAUCAUUUUUUCUCGUCGAAAUUUGGAAAGACGUAGUUGUUAUCAUCAUUAUAAAAAAAAAAAAAAAAAAAACUUAAUUGUAUAUAAGAAUGGUUUCAUUUUCAGGUGUAUCUAUACGGGGGACAAGUUACAUCUUGGAAGAACGAACGUGGAGAAGAAUUGUUAUUUGUUAGUAGUAAGGUAACCAGCUACAUUAUCCUACUCAUGCCUGAAAAGGAAGUUAAAAAAACAAAUCAAUAUAAUUGUUUUGACAUGAAUAAUAAUAAAUGCAGGCUAAUUUUACUCCUCCAAGAUCUUUACGCGGAGGCAUUCCAAUAUGUUUUCCUCAAGUACGUGUAUCAUCUUAUAGAGCUUGUAUGUUUUUGUUUAUUGUUUUUUCUUUAAGUACUUUAUAUCCAUCCAUAUGCAGUUCUCAAAUUUUGGUACUCUUGAACAUCAUGGAUUUGCAAGGAACAAGUUGUGGAUCUUAGAUCCUAAUCCUCCUCCCUUUCCAACAAAUAGCAACAGUAGAGCUUUCGUUGAUUUGGUUCUCAAAAACUCUGAAGAUGAUACAAAGAAUUGGCCUCACAGGUAUUUUAUUUAUAUAUAUAUAUAUAUAUAACUUAACACUCUUUUUUAAGAACCAACAUCAAAAUGAUUGGUAGACAUCUUGAAAGUCAAUUUCAAUCCAAAUUUUCAACCUAGAAAGAAGCUCAGUGAUCUCUGAAAAUUCCCCCACACAAAGCAUGCCGAGGUUCACCUUCUAUCGAGCCAUUGAUGUUCACAUUCACCCAACAACUACUGAUCACUGGGGAUUUCGAGAAAACUGUCUUGAUCUCAUUAAAAUUUUGUCGCUUCGGCAAGAUUAAGAAGAAUUCAAGAUAAACAUAUCCUUAAAAAACAUCAUACAUAACCUUCAUCUUGGUGGAAUGUAAAGUUGGCCUAGCAUGCAUUACUAAAACAAAGACCGUUACGAGCCAGCUAAAUAACAUGAAAAAUGUGAACCAUUCUAACAAGUAAUAAUUUUCGAGUCUUAGGAGUAGUACAACAAUUAAGCAUCACAUAAAUAAACAAUCUUAAGCGAGAGAAGAGGGAAGGACGACUCCAACAACUUUAUUUCUCAAGAAACACAUUAUGAUGAAGAAUGACACUAGGGAUAACACUGCUUUUACUCUAUGAUACAAAUUGAUUGAAAUAUUCAACACAUUCACCAAAGGACACCCCAACCAAUUAUCCAUGCCAUUAGACAUAUGUUUCUUAAUUCGUGUCUUUGUUGCAAAAACCUGCUUCUUCUGCAAAGAAUUGCCCAUUACCCUGAACUAAACCCAAACUUACAAGAUAAAUACAAAAUAGAUGUCUCACUUAUAUGGUGAACUGAUCUUAAAGAAAGGCCACCCUUAUCAAAUGGAAGGCAUAUAUAAAAAUACGGAAGAAAUAGACAAGCAUGUCCUGAAUAAUAGAUCGAACAAGUUGAACUAUGAUAAAAUUUCUAGAUAUCAAGUUUUCCAAUAGCUUGAAAAUGAGAUGUCUUCGGUGCAUUUUUUAAAAUAGGGCAACCAAGAUAAGUAAGUGGAAUAUCACUUGUACUAAAAUCCAACAAAGCAACAAUGUGAGCCAUCUUGGAGGGUGAAAACCUGCAUAGAACUUGCUUAACAUAAUAUUCCAUUUCUAUUGCACUUGUGUUUUAUAUGAGUUUAGCCUGAGUUUAUCGUUAUUUCUUACAGAUAUGAGUUUCGCCUAAGGAUAGCUUUGGGGCCUACAGGAGAUUUGAUGCUGACAUCCCGAAUUCGAAAUACAAAUAAAGAUGGAAAAUCUUUUACCUUCACAUUUGCCUAUCAUACAUACCUCUAUGUUACCGAUAUCAGGUUUUGUGUGCCAUAUACAUAUUUUUUGUUCGUAAAUCAAUAUCAAAUAUAUUGUUGCAAUCUCAAUGAUAGAAUAUUUAAAUAACAUUUUAAUCAAUUGACUUAUGAAAUUAUUCUUGCUUUGUUCUCACUUAAAUAUGUUUUUACAUUUAUUAUUAAAGUACAUACUAUCUAAUGUUAUUGAAGCACAUAUUUGAGUAUUGCUAUUUGCUCUUAAGAUUUUUGAACUGGAUCAUUUGUCAGUAGAAGCUAAAUUUCACCUUACUUAUGUUCAGUGAAGUUCGAAUAGAAGGACUAGAGACAUUGGAUUAUCUAGAUAGCUUGAAGAAUAGAGAAAGAUUCACAGAACAAGGAGAUGCUAUUACAUUCGAGGGUGAAGUGAGUAUAUGUUAUCAAUUGAGCAAUUUCUUGUGUUUUAUUGAUUCAAAUAUGAAACUCUUAAAAAAAGUUUUGUUUAUUUGAUGAUGAAGGUGGACAAAGUGUACUUAAGCACACCCACAAAAAUUGCUAUAAUUGACCAUGAAAGAAAGAGAACUUUUGAAAUACGAAAAGAUGGGCUUCCUGAUGCUGGUUAGUAGUUUAUAUAUAUAUAUAUAUAUAUAUCACUACAUAAAAUAUGUUUGUUUGUUAUUAUUAUAAUAUACUAAUAGGAAUUUAUGUAUGUAUGUAUGUAGUUGUAUGGAACCCAUGGGACAAGAAAUCAAAGAUCAUAUCUGAUUUGGGAGAUGAUGAGUACAAACAUAUGUUGUGUGUCCAACCUGCUUGUGUAGAAAAAGCAAUUACUCUCAAACCUGGUGAAGAGUGGAAAGGAAGACAAGAAAUAUCUGCAGUUCCUUCAAGUUAUUGUAGUGGUCAACUUGAUCCACGAAAAGUACUAUUUCAUCAUUAGGAACUUUUGUUGCAUCAAUGGUGAUGUCUUCCCCAAUAUUGCUUCAAGUUCAUCAUUAACAAAAAUAUCUAUAUCAUUUUAGCCUUUAGUGUGUUCAACUUCUUGAGAAAAGAACUUGAUUGAUUAUUGUAUAUUUGCACAACCUUUCCACUAGGGGAUAGAACACCGCGCUCUUGCAUACAUAUAUCAUCUUUAAAUUUGAAAUAUGCAUCACAACCAGUGUCUUGAAACUAUUCUUUAACUUGCGUAAAAUUUUUUUAUAGAAAAUUUUGUGUUUUAUACAUUGAAAAUAAACAUAUAAAACGACUUUCUUUUAUUUAUAAUUACCUUAUUUAAAAUCCAUAAACAAUUUUCUUAGGACACUUGUAUAAGCCCCUCUUCUUAAAAGUUAGGAAAUAUUUCUUGUAUCAUCUUUUCUUCUUUAUUUUACUAACCUAUUUCAUAUUUUGUAGAUAACAUUUAUUGCUUUUAUUUACAUUUUAUUCUACAUAUGCAUGGUCAUUGAGUGAGACUGUUUUAACUUGGUAAGGGAGCAAGUGAGUUGAUCUUGAUGUUUGGGUGUGUGUGUGUGUGUGUGUGUGUGUUGUGUGUGUGUGUAUAUAUAUAUAUAUAUAAGGGUUAAUUAAGUUUUUGGUCCUUAUAAAUAUCUGCAGUUUUGUUUUUAGUCCCAAUGAAAAUAAAUCACAUUUUUUAGUCCCUAAAAAAUUUUCCGUUAGUGUUUUUAGUCCCUGUUAAAUUAAAAUUUGUUUAAUUAUGCUUAAAAUUUUAAAUUUUUUUAAUGAUUUUUUACAUACUUGUUUAAAACAUUAUAAAAGGUUCCGCUACAAUAAAUUAGCUCAAAAUUUUAUUUUUAGGUCCAAAUUUUCGUUAGUUUUAUCUUGAAUUUUUGGCGUUUUAAAAAAAUUAUAUUUAAUUCAUUACAUGUUAAAAAAUUCUAAUUUUUUAUAAAAGAGAUUAUUAUAAUGUUCUUAACAUGUCUGUUAAAAAUCAUUUAAAAAUAUAAAAGUUUAAGCAUAAUUAAACAAAUUUCAAUUUAAUAGGGACCAACACAUACUUUUAGUCCUUGUAAAAUUAAAAUUUGCUUAAUUGUGCUUAAACUUUUAAAUUUGUAACAUAUUUUUCACAUACUUACUUAGAAUAUUAUACAAAGUUCCUCCGCAAAAAAGUAACUUAAAAUUUUAUUAUUAGGUCCAAAUUUUCAUUAAUAUAAUUUUGAAAUUUUGGCUUUUAGAAAAAUUCAUAUUUAAUUCAUUACAUGUUAAAAAACUAAUUUUUUUUUUUUUUUUAUAAAAGAGUGUGUUACAUGUUAAAAAAUUAUGUUGUGAGAAAGAGCUAGACUACUACAACAUAAAGAACCAAUAAAGUCAUAAUAGUACUUUAUCAAAAAUAUUUUAUUUAAAUUUUAAUUAAAAUUUUCAUACGUUUUAGAUUUUUUUUUCUGGAUCAAAAGCAAUGGAAAAUGUUACGAGGAAACAAGACAUCCUAACUAAGUUGACACUCUAAGAUCACCUCCCUCGUCUGCCACCAUGCUCAUAAAUUUUAAAAAAAAAAUCAAAAACUGUAAAAAGAAAGCAGAAAAACAAAAUAAAACCCGAGACCUAAGGAAAAUGGUAAUUAAGAUCAAGCCCAACCCGAUCUUUAAAAAAUCCUGACAAAUAAAAGCGGGUAAAACAUCUCACCAGAAACAUAAUCUCCGAUCUAUGAUUCCGAUAAAAAUCAAGAAAUGCAGUUCGAAAUAAUAAAAUCAUAUAUCAAACCAAUUUAAUUACUUUCAUUUCAUAUUUCUUUUUCUCUUGAUAAUAAAACCAACCGAGUCAAUCUUUGUUGAUAUAAUACUAGUCAUAGAUAAUAUUUUAUUAAUUUUAGUAGAAUGUCUUUUAUCAAAUAAAAUUUAUCAAUAGUAGAAUAUAACGUCUUUUUAUUAAGCAAUUUGUUUAAAUAUUGUUUUAGGCAUAAGGUGAUUGCCUUGAUAGUCUUACCCUUGGGUCGGCACUUCAAGUCGUUGGGUAAGCAUGUAAAAAGUGUGACAAAUGUAACAAUUCAAUUUGGUUCAAUUUUACAGUCAAAUAAAUGUUCAAACUGACCUAAUUGACACUGAUUUGGUUUGGUUUGGUUGUGUUUUUAGUAUUUUCUAAAGUGGGAUCAGAUCAAACUAAAAGUUUGGUUUGGUUAAUUGGUUCGUUUGAAAUAAAUAUAUUUUCUUUCUUUAUUCUUAAAUAGAAAAAGUGUCACUAUUUUUUGCUUUGUCAAUAUUUUCCUUCUACUACCAUCUUUAUUCUUAAAUAAAACCUAUUAAAAAAUUAAAAUAUAACUAAUCCAUGAAGGUAAAAAAAAGAUACAAAUUUAAAAUUGACCAUACGAAACACCAUCUGCAUAAGUGGAUAUAGCAAUAUAUCAAUUUUAUAUGACACUUGCUAAUUUUAAUAACUCCGUCAACAAAGUAUAUGAAAUACAAGUUCAACUUACUUAUCAAAAUCAUUAUGUUCCAAAACGGUAGCUAGACUAAAAAAAAUUGCUUCCCUCUAAUUCAGCAAGAAUUCAAUCAACAACUCCAAUUUUUUAUUCACCAAAAAUAGAAGAGUUAAAUAUAUUUUUGAUUUUUUUAUAAAUAUUCAAAAUUUAUUAUUUAGUCUCUGUAAAAAAAAAAAAAAUUGAUAAAUCAUAUUUAUUCAUAACCUCUUCCAUUUCAGCGAUUGCAAAUUUCACUUUUAUAAACAACAAUAAACAAAGUGAAAAAAAAUUAUAUGACAUGUUAAAUAAAACAAAAAAUAUAUAAAAGUAUCACCGGAAAUUUUUAAAAAUGAAAUAAAACUAAUACAAAAAAUUUCAGAUUUUUCUGAGAAUAUGAAAAAAUUUAAAGAUGAAAAAUGGGUCAAAACGAUAUAAUUUUGAAUUUUGAGGGCGGAAUCUCAUUAGAUGUCCCCUUUAGGAGAGUCUUGAUCCUUGAAUUUUUUUUCUUCUGAUUAUAUGGGAAAGUUUUGGAGCAAUCUGAUCAAGUAACUUUAAAACAGGAUUUUCGACACAACUAACAACGACCUAAAAUAGAAGGGUGGAAGUUAGGAAGAUUAAUAUGACCCUUAAAUUGCCUAUCCAUGUUACAAAUAAGUCGUAAUUUGUGUUGAUACAGUUCAGAUUCUAUAAUCUGAACUGUUUUCCCUUGAAUAAUGGUGUUUAAGGGGUGUUCGAAUUAUAUAAUUCGAAAAAGCAAGAAAUGUGUCCUAUUUUUUAGGGUGUUCGGAUUAUAAAAUCCAAAUUGGUGAAAAACUCAAUUUUUCACCCCAAAAUUAGGGGAAAACUCAAUUUGGAUUAUAUGAUUGAACUCUCGUGGGCAUUUUCGUAGGAAAAAAAGGGUUUACAAGAAAUGAGUAGGCUGAAAAAAAUAAUAGUCUAAUAGUAAAAUGUGUAACUGUCUUAGGUACCGUUUGGUCAGACUUUUUUUCGGUUUAAAAGCUACUUUAAAACAAAGUAAAAAUAAAGCUCUUUAAGGAAAAAAUUAAAGCUGUUUGGUUUCUUUAUUAUUUUUUUUAGUUCUAAAGUUAUUGUUAAGUUAAAAGUUCUUUGGCAAACUAUUGUACAAAACAUUGAAUUUAUUAUUUUUUUGUUGUUGGUGUCCAGAGUUCGUACCCGCGACCUUGCAUAUAUUUAUAUGUUGUCUAUAUCAACUGAGCUAAGCUAGAGAAUAGUUUUUUUUUCUUCCAAUUAUACUGUAUAAUAAAUUUUGUUAUAAGAAUAUCAUAUUUUUGGUGUCAUUUAAAAAGUUAAGAAUUUAUAUUAUAUGGUAUUAUAUUUGUUACAUCGUUGGUGUCAUUGAAAAAGAUAUGCUUAGUUUUUUUAAUAAGAAAAAGAUUUGCAUAGUUUGUUACAAUAUAAAUGUGUAAAGUAUAUAUAAGUAUAAUUUUUUUAGGCAUCUAACUUGUACUUUUAAUUAAAAUCAAAAUUUAUAAAAAUAAUAAUUGUACGCAUUACGCAACACUAAAAAAGUUAUACGCAUUAGCGUAACAAAAAAAACAAACAUACGGACAUAAAAUAUUACUCUAAACGCUAAUGUGUGUGUAUAUUUGUGAGGCUGAAGAAAGAGAAUAAAAAUAUUUGGUGUCACUCAAUGACAGCAUGAAUAAAAAUAUUUGUGAGGUUGUAAUAAUUAAACGAUAUUAAAAUGAAAUAUAUAAGUGAUAAAAAGAUAAUAAAACUCCUUCAAAAAUAAAUAAUAAAAUUAAACUGAUCCUCCUUUAAAAAAAAUUAUAUGGACCAGUUAAAAAAAAUGGAAGGCAAAAACAAAUUGAAAAAUAAAAGAAAAGGUUGCCUGCGUGAGUAGAAGAGAGGUGCUUGUAAAAUAAAUUACGGAGAAGUAGCAUUCAACAACUUUUUGUUAAAGCUCAUUCCAUUCAAUUUCAUGCAUUCUAAAAAAAAAUACUUUUUUUCGAAGGUACUUUAUUGAUAUUGUGUUUGACCUAACUUCUCCUUAAAAAUGUAGAGAAUCUAAAAAGAAAAAAAAAAAAAAAAAAGGUCAAACGAUACCUUAAUAUUGAUUCACUGGUUUGUUGAAUCUCAAAAUAAAAAACCAAGAACGAAAUCAAACCAAUUAAGUUUGGUGCGACUAAUUUUUUAUUUAAUUUGGUUUGGUUUUUCGAUUUCAUUGGUAUUAUCUGUACCACUUACACUUCAAGCGACAACGUUAGAAGUUUUACGUUGAAUAGAUGAACUAUUAUACUCUCACCCCAAAUAAACUAGUAUACUAGCAAAGUCCAAAUAGAACCAAAUCAUAUAACUUCCUCUAAUAAAAACAAACCAUAUAACUUGCAUCUUUGUUUUAUUUUUUAUCCAUUUAACGUACAUUUUUUUCUUCUUAUUUAUGUGUUUUAGAAUAUUCAUUAUGUUGCCAGUAACUAUCAGAUUUGAGAAAAAUGUUAUUGUUACAUUUAGUUUUCAAUGUAACUUUUUUUUUCAAAUGCACCAUUUAAUUUUUGUUGUUGGUCAGAUGUACCAUUUAUUUAAUAGAACGCAAUCUAUGUGUAUUUUUUUAUGUGCUUUUUGUAUGGUUUUUAAUUGAACUAUUCAUAAUUUUUUCAAAUUCAUAAAUUUUUUAAAGUUGAAUAUUCUAUGAUCUUAUGUUUUCAAAAUAAACUUUCGUAUAAUAGAAUCUUUAAUCAAUGUUCUAAAGACACUUUUUAGCAUAAUCUUAAAAAAAAAAAAAAAAAAAACUGUAUUUAAUUAUAGGAAAAAACUUCUUAGUGUUAAUGUUACAAUUAAUAAUAAUCAUGCCAUUUUUUUUAAAGAAUAAUCAUAACAUUUUGUAUCAUCUAUAACUCCCUUUUGGUUUUUUUAAAGAAUCAUCUAUAACUCCCUUGUAAUCGGUUUUUCCCCUUUUUUUCCUAUCAUAUUCUCAAAUCUUCAACUUAAAUUCCUUAUUCCCUUUUUAUUUCAUUUUUUUUCCCUUUCUUUUCAUUAUGAACAAUGGUAUCGUUACAAUGCUUUGAUUUUUUUGGAUGCAAACUAGUUGAUGAAUCCAAUUAUCAUACGAAAAUUAAUAGGUUCUCUCUUCCAAAGGUAUGUGAUUCUAUUCGAUAUGUCAUUAAAAGAAUGAUUUCUUUCUAUUUUCCAUCAAACAUUCUUUUGAGAUGAGAUAAAGAAAUCCUCAAAGUGGAAGCAGAGACCCAGUGGACGUUGGAGUCAUUAAGGGAAGUAUAUAUGUCCCUCAAAUUGGUGACAUUGAAGUCACCAAUUUAACAAAUGCGGAAUGAAAUGGUUGAUCAAUAUGUCCCUCAAAUGAUUUAAUUGAUAUUUUUUUAUUAAUAUUUUUUGUGUUUAAACUUUGAUCGGAUCAUAACUCAUAGAUCGACUUUUUCAUAAAUGUAAGUAAUUUUGAAGUGCAUAUUGAGCACCCAUCAAGAAUGAUUGCAACCCAGAUCAUAGCGUGGUAGGUGAAAGGGAUAAGAUUUCCGUCCAAGUGUGAAAAAGCGACUCAUUCUACACCAUGAAUAAUGUAGCCAUUGAAUUGGUCUUAUGGUAGGUAAAAAGAAAAGGAAAAAUAUUAAAACAUAAUUAUUUGGUCUAUACUUUUUUUUUUUUUCUUUUCUGACAAAAGGUCUUUAUUUUUUUGAAUUUUUUUUUAAAAAAUUAGUCUUCAUAAUUACGUGCAAAUAAUAUCUGAUCUACAUAAAAAAAAAAAGUCACCAAUAAUAAAAGAAAAAGUAUUUUUCCUUUGAUUUUACCCCACUGAAUGCCAUAAAGAUUUAAAAAAAAAAAAAGAAUUUUAAUUGACAAUUUUUGGCAUUGAUUUUUUAAUUAAUCAACUUAUAAAGUAAAAUGUAAUUUAUUUACCAAACUUAGUUUGAUUUUGAUCCAACCACUUGUAAUUAUAGUAGAGAAUUAAUAAAAUUUAAACACAAAUCACUCUCACCAACUCCUUUCCUUACCCACCAACUAUAUUUAUUGAAUUGUCCAUUUUGUCCCUUCACCAACCACGACCACCUUUUAACCAAUUUCCAUGUGGCUGGCUGGCUACAUUCACAUCACCUUAGCCAUAACAAGUCCUAUAUUACACAAGUGAAGUUCUUGUUCUUUCUCAAGAGAAUAAUUGAAAUCAUCAACAAUAUUCAUUCUCUUUAAGCAAACAAUAACAUUCUAAUGACUAUCCAAACAAUGGAACAAGAGUUGAUUUUCAAGUCUAAGCUUCCUGAUAUUUACAUUCCCAAACACCUUCCUCUUCAUUCAUAUUGCUUUGAAAAUCUAUCAAAAUAUGGUUCACGUCCUUGCCUCAUCAAUGCUCCAACUGCUGAAAUUUACACCUACUAUGAUGUCCAACUCACCGCGCAAAAAGUCGCCUCCGGUCUCAACAAACUUGGCAUCCAACAGGGGGAUGUCAUCAUGGUUCUUCUCCCUAAUUGCCCGGAAUUUGUGUUCGCCUUUCUCGGUGCUUCUUUUCGCGGCGCCAUAAUGACUGCCGCCAAUCCCUUCUUCACUUCAGCUGAGAUUGCUAAACAAGCAAAAGCUUCCAAUACUAAGUUGCUUGUAACACAAGCUUGUUACUAUGACAAAGUUAAGGAUUUGGAAAAUGUGAAGCUGGUUUUCGUGGAUUCUUCCCCGGAGGAGGACAAUCACAUGCAUUUCAGUGAGCUGAUUCAGGCUGAUCAGAAUGAAAUGGAAGAGGUAAUGUUCAUAUUGAUGCAGUUGAUUCCAAUUUUCCUAAAGUUACAUAUUACUUUGUCUAAUAGUAAUUAUUAUUAUCAUAUUUGAAAAUAAAAAUUUAGUCUAAAGUAACAAACAUAUUACUUUUUUAAAUAAUACUAUGUGAAUUACUUUGAAAAUAUUAUUCAUAUAUAAGGUGAGUGGCAAAGUUGAUUGUCUAACUGAAUACCAUAUAAUAAUUGAAUAAUAUAUAGUAUUGUAUAUAUCUACUAAUAAUCAAUCAAUAUUCUAACUAAUUUCCUUAAUUCCAACAGGUAAAAGUGAACAUCAAACCCGAUGAUGUGGUUGCAUUGCCAUAUUCAUCUGGAACAACCGGUCUACCUAAAGGUGUUAUGCUAACACACAAAGGGUUGGUGACAAGCAUAGCACAACAAGUUGAUGGAGAAAAUCCAAAUCUAUAUUAUCACAGUGAAGAUGUCAUACUAUGUGUUCUUCCCAUGUUUCAUAUUUACUCACUCAACUCAGUUUUGCUUUGUGGUUUGAGAGCUAAAGCUUCAAUAUUAUUAAUGCCAAAGUUUGACAUUAAUGCAUUUUUUGGCCUUGUUACUAAAUACAAAGUCACCAUUGCUCCUGUUGUGCCACCAAUUGUUUUGGCUAUUGCUAAGUCACCUGAACUUGAUAAAUAUGACCUUUCAUCCAUUAGGGUAUUGAAAUCUGGUGGGGCCCCACUUGGUAAAGAACUUGAGGAUACUGUUAGGGCCAAAUUUCCCAAAGCUAAAUUGGGACAGGGUUAUGGGAUGACUGAAGCAGGUCCAGUUUUAACAAUGUGUUUAUCAUUUGCUAAAGAGCCAAUAGAUGUGAAAUCAGGUGCAUGUGGAACAGUUGUUAGAAAUGCUGAGAUGAAGAUUGUUGAUCCUCAAAAUGACUCCUCUUUGCCUAGAAAUCAACCUGGUGAAAUUUGUAUUAGAGGCGACCAAAUCAUGAAAGGUAUCAAUGAAUAUUCUUUAUUAUUCAGAUUUUAAUUUAUAUUUAAAUUAUAUAAAGUGUGAAUAUUCAGUGAUCAUUGUUGUUAUUCGUUUAUUAAAAAAGAGAAAUAAUAAGUCAAUACAUGAUUGUUGUACUACGUCAUAAUUUGGUCUUCUCUUUUCAAAGGUUGGUGGCUUGCAUUGUGUACCACAUUUUUUAAAUGAUUCUAAAUUUUGUGUCAAAGGGUAGGUCAGCCCUUAAGACUAUAGUCUUAUCUUACUUAGCACACUUUUUUGUCACUAAAGCCAACCAACAAUUUUUUAAUCAACAUGGAUUUAUAGGUCGUUAAAUUUUUUAAUCAAAAUAUAUAUAGUAAAUUUAAAAAAAAAAAAAAAAAACGCUAAAUAAAAUCAAUUUUAUUUUAAUUCUUUCAGUGCACCGUAUAUUUAUUAUUGUUUGUCCUCACCAAACAUUGAAAAUCGUAGGCAAUGAAAAUGUUCUUCAAACCUCUACCAACUUUUUUUUUUUAUCAAGUCAAAUCUAUACCUACCUUGGACUAAGGUUGAUGAAGACUUGAAGUAUAUAUACGUACUAUGUCCAAAGAAGGUGAAUCACAUUUAGCUUAGGUGUCAAAUGAUAGUACUCCUUUGUCAAAGCUUAAACAUAGAAAAGUCAUAUAUGAAAUAUGAAUCUUGAGAGGAUUGCAUGCCAACCACACUUUAUUUUUUUACGGUUAUUUCAUAACCACUUUAAUAUAUUAGGAUUGUGAAAAUAUUACCGUGUACAGAAAUUAAAAAAUAUAUGAUAUAUUAAAAAUGCAACUAAAGACUGAUUUGAACAUUAUUAAUAUAGGUUAUCUAAACAACCCGGAAGCAACGAGGGAAACAAUAGACAAGGAAGGUUGGUUGCAUACUGGUGACAUUGGAUUCAUUGACGAUGAUGAUGAGUUGUUCAUAGUUGAUAGACUUAAAGAAUUGAUUAAAUACAAAGGUUUUCAAGUUGCUCCAGCUGAACUUGAAGCCAUUAUUCUCUCACAUCCUCAAAUUUCCGAUGUCGCUGUCGUCCCGUAAGUGCCUAUGCCCUAAAACUAGUUCGAUAGAAUGUGAAAAAAAUUCUCCACAUUGUAAUAAUUAAUAAAUAAAAUGUGUAUGGUUGAUAUUUAUAGAAUGUUAGAUGAAGCAGCUGGUGAGGUGCCAGUAGCAUUUGUUGUAAGAUCAAAUGGAAGUAUUGACACAACUGAGGAUGACAUUAAGAAGUUCGUCUCCAAACAGGUAAUUCAACCCAGCCCAUUUAUAAUUAGGGAACUUCCGCGGUACACUCACAAAGUGAGGUGUACCGAUACUCCUGUUUCAUAAUUUUAUAAAUUAACGAUCAUUUUUAUAUAAUAAAUAACUAUUUUUUAAUAUUUAUAUUUUAUAGAACAUUAUUUCAUAAGAAAAAACAUCAUUUCAUUGUUUAUAAGAAUUAUAGUAAUUUUUUUACAUAUUAUCAUAAAAAAUAAUGAAUGUUCUCGAUUAUGAGUGAUAAAAAUUCAAAAAAUAAUAAUUUUAUUUUGUUGACAUUUUUGAUGAAUAAGAUUUAGUUAUUAUAAUUAUAAAUGAUAAAAAAUAAUAUUUUUCUUCAAAAAAGAACUUAUUUAACUAUUAAUUUAAAGAGUAGGUGUACCGGUACACUUAAAUAUAUUGGAUGUACCAUAGAAUUUGCCUUAUAAUUAAUAAUAUUUUAUAAAAUUUAUUUUAAGAAUAUUUUUUGUUUUGAAACAAAUACUAAUUAAUGUGUGUGUUUGUGGUAUGCAGGUUGUGUUUUACAAAAGAAUAAACAGAGUAUUCUUCAUUGAUGCCAUUCCCAAGUCACCUUCAGGCAAAAUAUUAAGAAAGGACCUAAGGGCUAAGCUUGCAGCUGGUGUUCCAAAUUAAUCAAUCAGUUCCCAUAUACCAUGUAUUUUAUUCACAACCUGUUAUAAAAAUGUAUCAUAUCAUUGAGACCGAAUGAAAUUAGACAUGUUUUGUUUAACUAGCUCAUAAGUAAGGUUUGAUUAAAUCACAUUGUUAAAUAUGUUUUUAGUCUUAUUUAUAUGUCAAGUUUUUCUCGUAGUCUCUCUAAAAUUUUCCUUAAAUUUUUAGUCCCUCAAAAUUUUCCCAUCUUCACUUUUGGUUCCUCCUUUAAAGUAAAAUCAUACGUAGAAUUCAUAUUUUUAAAUAAAAUUUUGCAGGAAAAAAUCAUAAUAUUAUAAUAAUUUCUCUCAAAAAUAAUUAAAUUUUUUUAACAAAAUAUGAAUUUAAUAUGAAUUUUUAUAUUUUUUACGGUUAAAAAUUCAUAUUUAAUUUAUGUUUUAUUAAAAAAAAUCUAAUUUUUUCUGGGGAUAUUUUUUACAAUAUUCGACAUAUUUAUGCACAAUUUCAUUAAAAAAAAAUACAAAAAUUAACUUAAAAUAGUGAUUGAAAAUUUUAGAAGGACUAAAAGUUGAAGGAAAUUUUUAGAGGAACUAAAACGAAAAGUUAAUAUAUUUAUAAGGACAAAAAAAUAUAUUUAACUCUUUUAUAUAUUACUACUAUUCAUUUAGCUUAUUUUUAUCGUGGAACUAAUCAUUCGUAUACAUUUUUUGACAAGAAUCAUUCGUAUACUUGAAUCCUAUAAAUCAAGAAGAAGAAAAACCAUAUAAUCAAGUGAGCUGGGAAUGUAUGAACUACAACACUACAUAAUCUUUUAAAAAGAAUGCCGCAACUUUUUAAACAACAUAAAAAAAUAAAAAAUAAAACUAAUAGCUAGUUUUUUUUUUUUUUUUUUAAUUUUUAAGUGUCUCUUUUGAAGAAAUUUUUUGUUCCUAUUUAAUUGUCACUUUCAAAGUUCAAUGCAACAUUAAAUGUUAUUUUACCAAUAUUAUCCUUAGUUAUUUAUUGCGGAGAGAUAAAUAUAUGAAAUGAGAUAUUAAAUGAAUAAGGUCAUUAUAGUAAAAGUACAACUUAUUGCAUCAAAAAUAGUAACAAUCAUUGACUAUCUUGGUUUAUGUAAAAUGUCAAAAUGUGACAAUUAAAAAGGAACGGAGGUAGUAAUAGUUAGUUAGCUACUAAAUUACACCAGAAUCAAAAUUAAACAAUUGUUAAAACGAAAAUUUAACCAAUAAAAAUUUCCCAAACAUAAUAUUUAAGAUUCCUCCUUGGAGGGUGGUUCUGCAUAAAGUGAUCAAACCUUAACUCAUCAGCUCUCCCUUGAACUUGUUGCCCUUGCAUCGCAUUCGCACUCACUUGUGCCAAUGCCUGAGCCAUCGCAUUAGCAAUUGCAACAUCGUUACUUUCCAGACAUCUCAGCACUACACACAAACCACAACCAACUAAUAAGAACAAAAGAACAAGUAUCAAAAGUAUUCUGAUAGUAUUCACAUACAAACAGGAAAACAUCCAAAUUUUGGCCCAGACUAGAACGACAUGACUCUGAUACCAACUUGUAACACCCUCAAACCCCAUAUGCAAUACUUAAUAAUAAUAAUUCAACAGAUAAAUACAAGGUUCAAGGUGAUAUGUCUUCAAUAAUCCCAAAAACAUGCAUAAUUCAUUUUCAUAAUUAUAAAACAGUCGCAACAGAUUCAUAAAGUAAAACAACAUAAAACAAACAUCUCAAGGUACAUGAUCAUACACAUAAGGGUUUCUCAUAAAUAAUCCAACAAAUGAAAAUAAACAAAAUCCCGACAGAGUCCUAAAUCAUAGCCUACAACUUGACUCGAAAAGCAAGCGAGGUAGCAUCAAGCUAUCCCCGGGUACUCACGACGAUCACGCGUCCUCAAUCCUGCACGUCUACACCACCCAAACGAAUGGCAUUGGCGGAAACCCGUAAAAGGGUGAGAAAUACUCAACAAAGAAAAUCAUGAACAUAAGCAUAGAUUCAAGACAACAAAUAUCAUAUAGUCAACAAUUCAAUAUCUCAGGUAAUAUUCUCAUUUAAAUAGGCAUAUCAAUUCUCAAAUUAUAGAUCCAAGAUAUAUCAAAUCUUUACAUCAUCACCUUAUCAUCAAAUCAUUUCACGUUGUUAACAAUUCAACACCAUCAUUACAAGUACACAAAGAUCACCAAAUGUUCACAUAAUCAUGUACACAUCAUCACAUAUAAUCACAUAAUUGAAUACAUGACUCUCAUAUCAAUCCAUAUGCAUGCUAUGUUAUAGACACGAUUCUACAUGCAGGUGUACCAUUUUUGGAUGUUGGAGUUCUAUUAUCGAUUGAUCUCAUCGUCACUUAUAGUCACUUAACAUCAUCACUUGGACUUGACCAUGCAUGCAUGAUCAUAUGACUCAACAAUGUAUAUAUGCAUACACUAUAACACACGUCAUCAACAUCGUCACUUUAUACAUAUAUAUUUUCAUCGUCACUAGUCAACAUCAUCAUUUUUCAUCAUCACUUUAUAUAUGUAUACUCGUCAUAAAAAAUCACCAUCAUCACUAAUUAUCAUCAUCAAGAUCAUCCUCAUAAUCAUCAUUAUAAUCAUUAUAAAACAUAUACUUUAUAAAGUAGGUAACAUCACUUCAUUUAGCAAAACUAGCCUUUGAAACGAUUAAUCAUUUACGCCUAGCUAAUCCACAUUUCAAGUAUACAUAUCAUAGCAAAAUUAAUCAUCAUUCGUCAUCCCAUCAAUAUCACGUAGUCAUUUUCAAAUUAUCAUAGCAUAUAUCGUUAAUUUCCAAAGUCCGUCUAUUUUCUACAUUUGUCAAAGUUCGUUUAUUUUCACAAUUUCAAAACAUUCAAUCCAAUUCCAACCUAAGCUAGGUUAAACCAAUUGUAAGUACUCAAAACAGGAGGAUUAUAUAGCAGAUUAAAAGAAAUUACCCAUUAUAUUUGGCUUUGAUGUGAAAUGGUUUCAUUAUGGUGGUGGUGAUAAUAGAUGGUGGUGAUAUGGGUGGUGGUGAUGAUGAUAUGUGUAAUGAUGAUGAACUCGCUUUCUUUGAAAAGGUUGCCACUUGGUAUACUGAGGAAUCACCGAGAAAAUAUUUUUUCGCCGAACAUGAGGAACCCGGAAUCAUUACAUUGUGCGUCGGAACCGACUGUUUGGUUUAUCGCUUAAAUAGAGGUGUUAAGAUCCCAAAGUAGUUUGGUCAGAUGUUGUUUAUGGAUACAAACAAUAUGUUUGUCGGACGGAAUGUUAAAAGAAAUUUACAUAAGAUGUUAGGUUUUCUUGCUGAAGGGGUUGUUGGUCUCGAUCAGUUCAAACCUGGAAGUGGAUAUGAGAGUAUAAGGAAUUAUUCAGAGGCCAUUGAUGUUCAUGACUGUGUUGGAAACAUCCCCUUUAACUUCCCUCAUGUUGGAGCAGCAAUGCAAAUUUGAAUGAAAGGCAUAUUCAAUCUCUUACGGUUACUUCUUACUUGUCCUGCAAUAUUGGGAACAGUUUCAUUGGGCCAUAGAUCGAUGGAUGUUUUGCUUUGCUUUUUUUACCACUUGAUUUGAAUCUCUUAGUAGUAUCAAUCAUUUAAAUUGCUGUGUUAAUUAGAUUUUAUGUUAUCUGAUGAUUUGGUUUGGUUUGUUUGUUUGGAUCGUUUAGUUUGUUUUGAGUUUGUAUUUCUUGUUAGACAAAAAAAUUACCACUUGCAUUGUGUGUUUGCAUGUGAUGUUGUAUUUGUUGUUUUAUUUUUGUUGGACGUCCUAUCAUUGUUGGUUUAUUUAUUUGAUUGUAAUGGUAAUUAGAAUUAGGGGAGGGUACCUAGUCGUGGGAGUGUUGUUUAAUGGUGAUGAGGAGGGGAGGGUAAAAUGGGAGCGGUAAGUUUAUUUUCCCUUUGUGAUAAUAAUAAUGUAAGGAGUAAAUUUUUUGUGCAUUAUAGAAACGCUGGUAAGAUGCAUGGGAUAGUUGGAUCAUCAUAUCAAUUUAACAAUAUCAAUUAUUCAGCGAUCCAUGUUAAUGCACUCUUUAUUGGAACCCUUUGGAUUUAUAACAUAAGUGUAACAGAAUUUUUGUUAGAAUAUUAAAUGUAUCUAAUUGUUUUCUUUUUCCUAGCUGGACACCGGUUGUGUAUAAAUCAUGUCUUGUACAAUUAUCACAUGUUGUGCAAUUAUUUGUUGCCGUAUCACAAUGGAAUUGUAUGUUGAGAAGUGAGAUCUAAUGAGAUAGAAUACAAGUUUAAAAACUAUACAUUAUGAAAAAUUGUGAAAUUUAGUUCAACUUCUAAAUGAAUUUUAUGGUCUAUUGUUGCUAAAUUCAUGGGAUAUAUUGGGUGUUGCUUUUUUACUAAUACUAUUUAUUAGGUGUAUAAUAUGUCCUGGAUUGUGUUUAGUUUGACUCGAAUAUUUCAACUUGUUUUGUCUAAAAGUGAAAUUGAUUCAUAAACUCAUUCGUAUGUUCAUUUAAGCACAUAUUUCUUUUGCCUCCUUUAAUUAAGCUCAUGAAUAUAAACGAAUCUCGGCUUCUCAAAUAUAAUUUGCUACUAGGAGUGAAAACCAAAAAAAAUAGAGGAAGGUAUUUCCAUCGGUACCACUUGCAUUGUGUGUUUGCAUGUGUUAAUUAGAUUUUAUGUUAUCUGAUGAUUUGGUUUGGUUUGUUUGUUUGGAUCGUUUAGUUUGUUUUGAGUUUGUAUUUCUUGUUAGACAAAAAAAUUACCACUUUCAUUGUGUGUUUGCAUGUGAUGUUUUAUAUUUGUUGUAUUUGUACCAAUUCAUACAAAAAAUUAAUAAAACGUGAAUUCUGAAACUCGUAUUACUCAACAUUGAAUCUCCUAGGUUCAUUUUUGCUUAUAUUUUUAAAUUCGCCACUAGGCUCUAAUAUUUGGAAUAGCCGAAUUGGCAAGCAUGCGUUUGCUGGCAAGUUCAAAACGUUAGACUCUGCUAUCUGAAAUUAUCGUGGACCGAUGGUAUGACCUAGAUCAAAUAACCAAGGUCAUUCAUAUAAAGUCUAUGAGAUGUACAUAUAAAAAACACUACAACCAUUGCCAAACACAUGAUGAUAUGGAGUUAUUUGGUAACACUCCAAAGAAACCAAAUAUUGUGGAUCUUAGUUUGCACAUUUAGUUAUCAGUUUUGAAUUAAUUGAAUUGGCAAUUUUACUUUAGGGUUUAUGUGCAUGUUGUAUAAUAAUUUCCCUACUCUCAUUUCUACAUGUUAUAAUAUAUAUCAUCAAAUCACCUACAAAUUUUUCAACCCCGUUCUCUCUUCAUUUCUUUCUUUAGAAAACCAAAACCACACUCUUCUUCACUCUCUUUCUCUCUCCUUGUUCUCUCAUUUCUCUCUGCAUGUUAUAGCAUCCAAUCAACUACAAAUUUUCCAAACCCUCUCUCACUCUCUCUCUCUCUCUCUCUCUCUCUCUCUCUCUCUCUCAAAAAUCAAAACCUUGCUCUUUCUCUCUCAAUUUCUUGAUUUUCUUGUUUCUCUCUCUUCAUUUCAUAUCAACGCAAUGAACCAACUUUUGAUUCAAACCACUCUUAGAGCAAUUGCCACAAAUUUUCGUAUGUACAGAGUGAAACUAGAUAAUACAUAUAUCUUCACAACAGUCACGUCUGAUAGAGGUAUGGCUACACGAUCGUUAGAAUAUCGUAUGGUAGAAACUCUGAAAAAGGAAAUAGAGAAAUCAAAACAGGAGGAUUAUAUAGCAGAUGAAAAGAAAUUACCCAUUAUAUUUGGCUUGGAUGUGAAAUGGUUUCAUUAUGGUGGUGGUGAUAUAAAUAGUGGUGAUAUGGGUGGUGGUGAUGAUGAUGAUAUGUGUAAUGAUGAUGAACUCGCUUUCUUUGUAAAGGUUGCCACUUGGUAUACUGAGGAGUCAUAGAGAAAAUAUUUUGUCGCCAAACAUGAGGAACCCGGAAUCAUUACAUUGUGCGUCGGAACCGACUGUUUGGUUUAUCGCUUAAAUAGAGGUGUUAAGAUCCCAAAGCAGUUUGGUCAGAUGUUGUUUAUGGAUACAAACAAUAUGUUUGUCGGACGGAAUGUUAAAAGAAAUUUACAUAAGAUGUAAGGUUUUCUUGCUGAAGGGGUUCUUGGUCUCGAUCAGUUCAAACCUGGAAGUGGAUAUGAGAGUAUAAGGAAUUAUUUAGAGGCCAUUGAUGUUCGUGACUGUGUUGGAAACAGCACCUUUAACUUCCCUCAUGUUGGAGCAGCAAUGCAGAUUUGAAUGAAAGGCAUAUUCAAUCUCUUACGGUUACUUCUUACUUGUCCUGCAAUAUUGGGAACAGUUUCAUUGGGCCAUAGACCGAUGGAUGUUUUGCUUUACUUUUUUUUACCACUUGAUUUGAAUCUCUUAGUAGUAUCAAUCAUUUAAAUUGAUGUGUUAAUUAGAUUUUAUGUUAUCUGAUGGUUUGGUUUGAUCUGUUUGUUUGGAUCGUUUAGUUUGUUUUGAAUUUGUAUUUUUUGUUAGACAUAAAAAUUACCACUUGCAUUGUGUGUUUGUAUAUGAUGUUGUAUUUGUAAUUUUAUUUGUGUUGGACGUCCUAUCAUUGUUGGUUUAUUUAUUUGAUUGUAAUGGUAAUUAGAAUUAGGGGAGGGUACCUAGUCGUGGGAGUGUUGUUUAAUGGUGAUGAGGAGGGGAGAGGUAAGUUUCUUUUCCCUUUGUGAUAAUAGUAAUGUAAGGAGUAAAUUUUUUGUGCAUUAUAGAAAUGCUGGUAAGAUGCAUGUGAUAGUUGGAUCAUCAUAUCAAUUUAACCAUAUCAAUUAUUCAGCGAUCCAUGUUAAUGCAUUCUUUAUUGGAACCCUUUAAAUUUAUAUCAUAAGUGUAACAAAAUUUUUGUUAGAAUAUUCAAUGUAUCUAAUUGUUUUCUUCUUCCUAGCUAGACACCGGUUGUGUAUAAAUCAUGUCUUGUGCAAUUAUCACAUGUUGUGCAAUUAUUUGUUGUCGUAUCAUAGUGGAAUUGUAUGCUGAGAAGUGAGAUCUAAUGAGAUACAAUACAAGUUUAAAAACUAUACAUUAUGAAAAAUUGUGAAAUUUAGUUCAACUUCUAAAUGAAUUCUAUGGUCUACUGUUGCUGAAUUCAUGGGAUAUAUGGGGUGUUGCUUUUUUACUAAUACUAUUUAUUAGGUGUAUAAUAUGUCCUGGAUUGUAUUUAGUUAGACUCGAAUAUUUCAACUUGUUUUGUCUAAAAGUGAAAUUGAUUCAUAAACUCAUUCGUAUGUUCAUUUAAGCACAUAUUUCUUUUGCCUCCUUUAAUUAAGCUCAUGAAUAUAAACAAAUCUCGGCUUCUCAAAUAUAAUUUGCUACUAGGAGUGAAAACCAAAAAAAAUAGAGGAAAGUAUUUCCAUCGGUACCAAUUCAUACAAAAAAUUAUAAUAAACGUGAAUUCUGAAACUCAUAUUACUCAACAUUGGAUCUCUUAGGUUCAUUUUUGCUUAUAUUUUUAGAUUCGCCACUAGGCUCUAAUAUCUGGAAUAGCCGAAUUGGCAGGCAUGUGUUUGAUGGGAAGUUCAAAACAUUAGACUCUGCUAUCUGAAAUUAUCGUAGACCGAUGGUAUGACCUAGAUCACAUAACCAAGGUCAUUCAUAUAAAGUCUAUGAGAUGUACAUAUAAAAAACACUACAACCAUUGCCAAACAGAUGAUGAUAUGGAGUUAUUUGGUAACACUCCAAAGAAACCAAAUAUUGUGGAUCUUAGUUUGGACAUUUAGUUAUUGUAACACUCCGUUUUCCCAACGUAAAAAUUUCAUUUAAUUAAUCAGAGUAAUUCACAAAAAUGGAAUGUCACACUUCUUUUCUUAAAAUCAUAAACGGAAUAAUUAACUAAUUAUCCUUCAAAAUUCAAUAACAUAAUAUUUAAUACUUCGCAGCGGAAUUUAUUCGAACAUCUAAAAUAAUUUUGGCACGAAGGCCUCAUCAAAGUAUCUCAUAAAAAUCCAAUUAACUACUUAAUCAUGUAAAUUCAUAAGCAAUAUGUAAGGAAUAGAAAAGCAUGCAACAAACUCAUCUCGUUACGUAUCAGAGCACCUAAAGACACACAUGAGAGAUAAUCCACUUACGACAGCAAUCUAACAUCAACUUAAACUCGAUCACCUGCAAGUUACUCAUACGAAGAGCAACAUUUCCAAGCAGAAGGGGUGAGAUUUCACAAAACAAUAAUAUCAAGCAUAUAAUUCAGUAAUUAUAUUUAACAACAUAAAUAACUUCAUCUAUUAGUAAUAAUAAUCAUUUAUGUAAUGAUUCUUAAUAACUCAACCAACUUCUAAUUAUCAUUAACUUCAUAUUCAUCACAUUGUAAACUUCAUCAUAUAGCACAUAAUAACCAAAUCAUAACCAACAUAGAUCAUCACAUCAUAAAUAUCAUCUUUAACACACAACAUAAUCAUCAUCUCAUAAUAACUUAGACCACACAACAUAAUCAUCACUUAAUAAUAAUAAUAAUCAUAUACAACAUAACAUAAUCAUCAUCUUAUAAUGAUAUAAACAACACAUAUUCAUCAUCUUAUAAUAAUACAACAACACAUAUUCAUCAUCUUAUAAUAAUAUAACAGCAACAUAUUCAUCAUCUCAUCAUAAUAUAACAACACAUAUUCAUCAUCUCAUAAUAACUUAAAAACAACAUAUUCAUCAUCUCGUCAUAAUAUAACAACACAUAUUUAUCAUCUCAUAAUAACUUAAACAACAACAUAUUCAUCAUCUCGUCAUAAUAUAACAACACAUAUUUAUCAUUUCAUAAUAACUUAAACAACAACGAUUAAUAAAUAUUAAUAUUUCACUUAGUUCUUUAUGAACAACUUAUUGACAAAUGACAACUUAACGACAACAACAACGCAACUUCAACUUCUUAAUCAUGCAUGUGGUACCAACCAGGGCAUCAAGCCCCCAACAUAUUGAGUGUAAAUAGGCUCACAGAGCAUCAAGCUCUCUCCCUUCACAUAUUAUGUAUAAAUAUACAUUACAGAGCAUCAAGCCCUCACCCAACGUAAAUGAGUAUGCAAUGGACUCAAUAUCUUAACAACUUAACAGCUUAGACAUCUCUUAUGACUCCAAUAAUUUGGAUCAACAUCUUACAACUUAAACCAACAUUAGCAUCUUAAUGAUAUUAAUACAUCACAUCAGCAAGGCAACACCAUCAAAUAAUUUACAGCAAGUCAACAUCAACAAUAAUCAUCUAAUACAACCAUUAUAACUUCAUAUCAACGUCUUUCACAAUAUAUAAAUAUUCUCACAUUAAUCAUCAAAGUAAAUCAACAUCUUAAAACAUCAUAUAUACAUAUAACACUUCAUCAAUCAUGGACAAUAUUGUAUUCACAACAUAUACUAAUUCAUCAAUCAUAAACAACAUCAUACUCAUAAACAUAUACAUUCAUAUAACACUUCAUCAAUCAUGAACAAUAUCGUAUUCACAAACAUAUACAUACAUAUACUAAUUCAUCAAUCAUAUUCAAUUAUUCACUGUGACCUACGUGCAGUAAUUUGACCAUAAAUCAAGUUCUAUAAAUCGUUUUGAAGUCAAACUAACGACAUUAGAAAGCUAACAUCCAUACCUACAACUUUCGUGUUUACACCUAAGACUAAUUUUGUAUCAAUCAAUACCAGUUUUCAUUUCAAAUUCAGACAAAGUUGUGCUGAAAUUCAUAAAAAAUCACUAUGACCUACGUGCAGUAAUUUGACCAUAACUCAAGUUCUAUAAAUCUUUUUGAUGUCAGACCAACGGCAUUAGAAAGCUAACAUCCAUACCUACAACUUUAGUGUUUACACCUAAGACCAAUUCUGUACCAAUCAAUACCAGUUUUCAUUUCAAAUUCGGACAAAGUUGUGCUGAUAUUCAUAAAAAUUCACUGUGACCUACGUGCAGUAAUUUGACCAUAACUCAAAUUCUAUAAAUCUUUUUGACGUCAGACCAACGACAUUAGAAAGCUAACAUCCAUACCUACAACUUUCGGGUUUACACCUAAGACCAAUUCUAUACAAAUCAAUACCACAUUUCAUUUCAAAUUCGGGGCAGAGAUGAAAAGAAAAAUCAUAAAAAGCAACAUAUAUUAUUCAACUUCACUUUCAUUCAAAAUCAUCACAAUCAUCACUCUUAACCCUAAUUCUCAAAUUCUCAAAAACUAAACCUACAACAUGUUAAAUACAAUUUUCAGAAUCAUAGACUCAAGAUUAUUGAAUGUUAGUCCCACCCUUACCUUAGAGAUUGACAGCAAGGUUCUACAGACUUCUCAUUCUCUGACUCUUCUCUUCUCUUUGUUUUCUCCCAAAUGGUUUUCACGUAAAAACUAUUCUAACCUAAUUUCUCCUCUUUUAUAUCACUAACCACUUCUCUUAAUUCUACUUAAGCCCACUAAACUUCUUUAAUUUCUAAUUCAGCCCCCCAAGUCUACUUAUUCUAUUAUUUAAUCAUAUUCUAAUAAAUAAUAAAAUAAAACCACUUAAUAAAAUAUCAACAUACCACAUAAUCAAAUAAUUCAUAUAAUUCGACUCUAUCUCAUUAAAAUAAUUAAAUAAACAAAUAUAGGCUACUAAUUUAUAUAUCAACACAUAACAAAAUAUCACUUAUCAAAUAAGUUAAUUAAAUUCUAGAAGAACGGACUCUAAACUCAAAUAAAUAAAUAAAUAAAACAAAUAAUUCAAAGAGGGCGUUACAGAUAUCAGUUUUGAAUUAAUUGAAUUGGCAAUUUUACUUUAGGGUUUAUGUGCAUGUUGUAUAAUAAUUCCCCUACUCUCAUUUCUACAUGUUAUAAUAUAUAUCAUGAAAUCACCUACAAAUUUUUCAACCCCGGUAUCUCUUCAUUUCUUUCUUUAGAAAACCAAAACCACACUCUUCUUCACUCUCUUUCUCUCUCCUUGUUCUCUCAUUUCUCUCUGCAUGUUAUAGCAUCCAAUCACCUACAAAUUUUCCAACCUCUCUCUCUCUCUCUCUCUCUCUCUCUCUCUCUUUCAAAAAUUAAAACCUCGCUCUUUCUCUCUCAAUUUCUUGAUUUUCUUGUUUCUCUCUCUUCAUUUCAUAUCAACCCAAUGAACCAACUUUUGAUUCAAACCACUCUUAGAGCAACCACCACCAAUUUUCGUAUAUACAGAGCGAAACUAGAUAAUACAGAUAUCUUCACAACAGUCACAUCUGAUAGAGGUAUGGCUACACGAUGGUUAGAAUAUCGUAUGGUAGAAACUCUGAAAAAGGAAAUAGAGAAAUCAAGACAGGAGGAUUAUAUAGCAGAUGAAAAGAAAUUACCCAUUAUAUUUGGCUUGGAUUUGAAAUGGUUUCAUUAUUGUGGUGGUGAUAUAGAUGGUGGUGAUAUGGGUGGUGGUGAUGAUGAUAAUGAUAUGUGUAAUGAUGAUGAACUCGCUUUCUUUGAAAAGGUUGCCACUUGGUAUACUGAAGAGUCACCGAGAAAAUAUUUUGUCGCCGAACAUGAGGAACCCGGAAUCAUUACAUUGUGCGUCGGAACCGACUGUUUGGUUUAUCGCUUAAAUAGAGGUGUUAAGAUCCCAAAGCAGUUUGGUCAGAUGUUGUUUAUGGAUACACACAAUAUGUUUGUCAGACGGAAUGUUAAAAGAAAUUUACAUAAGAUGGAAGGUUUUCUUGCUGGGAGUGCUGUUUAAUGGUGAUGAGGAGGGUAGGGUAAAAUGGGAGCGGUAAGUUUCUUUUCCCUUUGUGAUAAUAGUAAUGUAAGGAGUAAAAUUUUUGUGCAUUAUAGAAAUGCUGGUAAGAUGCAUGGGAUAGUUGGAUCAUCAUAUAUAUAUAUAUAUAUUUAACCAUAUCAAUUAUUCAGCGAUCCAUGUUAAUGUACUCUUUAUUGGAACCCUUUAGAUUUAUAACAUAAGUGUAACAGAAUUUUUGUUAGAAUAUUCAAUAUAUCUAGUUGUUUUCUUUUUCCUAGCUAGACACCGGUUGUGUAUAAAUCAUCUUGUGCAAUUAUCACAUGUUGUGCAAUUAUUUGUUGUCGUAUCACAGUGGAAUUGUAUGAUGAGAAGUGAGAUCUAAUGAGAUACAAUACAAGUUUAAAAACUAUACAUUAUCAAAAAUUGUGAAAUUUAGUUCAAUUUCUAAAUGAAUUCUAUGGUUUAUUGUUGCUGAACUCAUGGGAUAUAUGGGAUGUUGCUUUUUUACUAAUACUAUUUAUUAGGUGUAUAAUAUGUCCUGAAGAGUGAAAACCAAAAAAAAAAUAGAGGAAGGUAUUUCCAUCGGUACCAAUUCAUACAAAAAAUUAAUAAAACGUGAAUUUUGAAACUCAUAUUACUGAACAUUGAAUCUCCUAGGUUUAUUUUUGCUUAUAUUUUUAGAUUCGCCACUAGGCUCUAAUAUCUGGAAUAGCCGAAUUGGCAAGCAUGUGUUUGAUGGCAAGUUCAGAACAUUAGACUCUGCUAUCUGAAAUUAUCGUAGACCGAUGGGAUGACCUAGAUCACAUAACCAAGGUCAUUCAUAUAAAGUCUAUGAGAUGUACAUAUAACAAACACUACACACCAUUGCCAAACACAUGAUGAUAUGGCGUUAUUUGGUAACACUCCAAAGAAAUCAUAUAUUGUGGCAUUCAUCUUAGUUUGCACAUUUAGUUAUCAGUUUUGAAUUAAUUGAAUUGGCAAUUUUACUUUAGGGUUUACGUGCAUUUUGUAUAAACAGAUACUACUCCAGAGUUUUAUUGUUGGUCUUAAUCCAAUUACAGAUAUAAUUUUUCAAUUUUCAAUUCAAUAUAGAAAUUGUAUUUAAAUAAAAAUAAAAAUAGAACGAUUUGCAAAAAAAUUUAAAAACCCUAUAUACACUCCUUUCCUCCUCUAAUGGUCAGUCACUUCUUUCAAAGAAAGUCACGAGGAGGCUUGGAACAGACUAGUCAAAUGCCAAAAAUUACCUUGCAAAACUUAAUUAAGCCAAGUCUUCAAAGUGAUCUCUACAUCAAGCCUCAAAUGAAUCAUAACGGAAUACAAACACCAAAAAAUGGUCAUUUGCUUGAAAAAUUACAAAGUUUCACCUUGCAUAUUUGAUUAAAUCGGUAAGUGGUUGUGCAAAAAAAAUUAUAACUCAAGAGUAUCAUGACUUUAUGUGUUUCAAUUUUGUAACCUUCUCAAAAUCCAGAGGAUGGAAGUUUCUUUCUACCUCCCAAGCCAACUGUUACAUACAAUUAAAUGUCGACUUUGCACCUUUUUCAUCGGUGACUUCUCUAGGGAAAUGAAUGUGGACCUAGAAUAAGCCGUAGUUAGGAGAAAACAGUCGCAUAUCCAAGCCCAGGCGAUCCACCCAUAUCAUCUUAGCUUCUGAGUCCUACAAUGGGAAAUCAAAUGCAUUAAAAGUUAACACAACAAAACUAACUUAUUGGUCCCCAAUAUUGUUUUGAAGUCACGUUUCUAUUUAGCAGUCAUAUACAUCAAGUAAUUUCUAUCUGGAUGUUGCAUAAACACGGUUAAAUAGCUACAUCAGGCGCACUAGUUAAAUAACCGGAUGAUAAUGAAAUAAAAAUGGACAAAAUGUUGUUGUUCAUGGCAUGCAUGAGAUGAAAGAGAAAAAGCAAGGGUGGUUUAGGCAUACAAAAUCCACCCAAAAAAACAACAGAAAGGAAAAGUACCUGGAAAUUCAAAUCAACAAAGACAUUACAAAAGCGAGUAAUGUCUUUCAUAGUAUUGGUGUUAAUUUCAACGAGUAAAUUCUCAGCAAACUCUCGAAGGGGGUCAGGUUGAGCAUUUUUGUAGUCUAAAGAGGUGAACCACACACCGUCCUGAAAAAUACAGCCAUAGUCAAUUUUAUAUCAAAAACCACCAACUUGCAAGGUUAAUAAGCAACGCAACCGGGUCAAGUCCCCGCCUCCUGGACUGGAAGUCAUCCAAACUAAUGACGAUUAAUCACAAUCACAAGUUUGACUAAACUAAUGACGCCAACAAUUUCAUGUGAAUUGUGGUCAUUCAUUCGUUGUUCGUGUACCAACGAGCUACUUCGGAGUUCAUCUGCAUUCAUGGAAUCUAAAUCAUGAGAUUAUUCAAUAGAACACACUACAUAAUCGUACAUGGAGGUUAUUGAGCGAAGAAUCUUUUCGACAACGGUAAGAUUCGACAUUUGGUCACUAUACAUUCUUAAUCUUGUUUACAAUUGUGAGAGUUCGAGCAAAAUAGUCAUUAAUUGAUUCUCCAUUCUUCAUCUGUAAAAUCUACCAGUCACGUCACAGGGCCUGAAGUUGAGCUCGCUUCCCUCUAGCAGUGACUUGGUAUUACUUUUUCAAGGAACCUGAUCUCCUUCGAUGUCUCGUUUUUUAAAAUUAUUUCAAGCACAACUCGAUCAAUUGCUUGAAAGAGGUGACUUUUUGCCUUAAAAAUCUUACAACUUUAGCUCAUCCAAUGUUUUCUUCUCGUUCUCAGUCAAUACAACACCGACAGCUUGUUGAGGAAUCCCUGGAUAUAUAAGAUUCCAAUACUCCUUUGACCUCAAAAAAUUCUCCGUGAGCAUUGCCCAAUUAUCAUAAUGUUCACCCGGUUUUGGAAUUGUAGGUUGCACGGAGUUGCUAAUCCCUGGUUGUAGUCAUGAUUGAAGUAUGCUGCUUCUAUUUACUGCUACACACCUAGCUAUGAUGCUAGAUGUUAACACAUAAAACAAAUUGGAAAGGAAAAUGCUUUGUUUUCACUUAUUGAAUGAAAAGGUCAAGUUUAUAGACUUAGCACUACAACUGACUGGCUACAAAAUAGGAAACUAACCCACACACAUCCUAAACAACACCCGUUUCAUUUGGCAAAAAGUUCGUCAAUAAAUAUAAAUCUUUUUUUUUUUUUUUAAAUGCAUUUAUUUAAAUUUUUUUCCAAAGAUAACCAUAAGUAAUACUACUGAAUUCGUUUGAAAUAUGAAAAAUCAAAAUUGAACUACAAAUGACAAAAUAGUAAUAUUUCCACACAAAAUGGACGCAUUAGUUAUGCUACAAACUUUUUGUAAUAUAUGUGAAAUUUGUAAUGGAGACUUAAUCUUUGUUUGCGAGUUUGAAGGGAAAGGGAGGGAAAGGACUAAGCAAGUGGAAGAAAUAGAGGAAAAUAGGAGAGAAGGGCUUUGGGGUUAAUUUUUCUUCAUAAUACAAAACCCUCCUCAUUUGGGGGAGCUCAAAAUUAUAUUGAAGGAGGGUUUUGGGGGUUCAUAUGAAUUCUUCAAAUUUAAUUUAUGUUGUUAUAAUAUUUUUAAAAUUAAAAAUAUAGUAAUCAUAUGCAUUAAUUUAUCAUUCUCUAAAAAAACUACUCUUUUAAAAUUUUUGAAAGAUUUCUCAAUUUUUUCUAAUAUUUUCCACCCUCCCAAACCUAAUUUCCUUCCCUUCCCCUCCCCUCCAAACUCCCAAACAAAGCUUUACAUUUAGGGAGGGAAGAAGUAAUGUUUUUUAAUGUGUGUAAAAUAAACAAGUGUGUCACUCAUUGUAGAAGGGAUAAAAUAAAUAUUUGUCAUGAUAUGAUUUCAACUUGAAUAAUUGAUAUCGUGAAAACUAGUUACUAUUGUAAGAACUAAUAGUUGAAGCUCCUGCUGUGAAUUCAUAACAUAAAGCACAACGAGUACUAGGAGUAGGAAGUACAUAAAAUAAAAAAUACCCAACAUAAAAGGUUUUAUAGAAAAAUAAGUAGAACAAAACAGAAAGAGUUUAGAAAUCACAUAGCCAAACAAAACUUGAGAAAGCAAUAAAUCGAAACAACAAACGCUGCCACCUGCCAAAUUAUUUGACAUCUACAUUCCCCUAUGUAUGUAGCAUGACUCACAAUUCAGCAAAACCAUCCCCACAUUCUUUUUGCAUAUGGUACUGCCUCUGCAAGUGAGGCUUUUGUCGACUCAACUCAUUAAAAUAUGUCUUGAGAACUUAUACAAUUAAUUCAAUAUCAAAUAUUAAUCUUUUAUAUUCACUUGCUUAUAGACUUCGAUGGCAUUUCUCUAAGAAAAAGGUGAAGUCUCAUGAAAAAGUUGUGUCCCUUUCUAAUAUUGCAGGCAUAUAUAAUCACAUUAAGACAUACAUCAGAACAUGUGCACAAAAGUAUGUGUAUUAGUUGGAGAAUAUGUUAAAACAACUAUGCAACCUCAUGAAACAUAUUUUAAAUGCCAUCGAAGUCUAUAAGCAAGUGAAUAUAAAAGAUUAAUAUUUGAUAUUGAAUUAAUUGUAUAAAUUCUCAAGUGUCCAUUAUUUAGAAUGUUGACGGUGCAAGUUCCCCUGCAAGUAUUCUCCAAUAAAAAAAUAUAUAUAUAUAUUCACAAAAAAAAGCCCAACAGGCCCACUGCAAGUUCCCCUGAGAAUUAAAGAUAGUUGUAGCAGAGUGAAGGUAAUUACAGACUAGAAUGCUCCUCUCCAAACUGAAUUCCAAUUAACAAAAUAGAAUGCCCCUCUCUACUCCCUAUUCUCUAUUUAUUUGCUAUCCCUAUUACCAUUAAGCUGGGAUUUACCAAUAACAUUUUAUUCUUUAAUCUAUUACAAUAUAAAAUUCAGUAUUUACAUAUAGAAUCAAUUCAAAAGUUUGGUAUGGAAAUUUAAAACAAAGAUUCUCUAAUUCAUUUUAACUAAUGUGCAUUGAAACACUAUACAUUUAUCAUUUGUGCAUUCAAUACCAUUUGCACAUUCAAUACGACUCAAAUCUGUUGAAUCUAGAGAAACUAGAGAAUUUGAGAGAAACAAAAAUUGUAUUAAUUGUUUGAAUGAAUUAUAUUGUGUGAGGCUGUACUGCUGUAGUCAUAUACUUGAGCCAGUUAGUUAGUUGCAAUCCUCUAAGUGUGAGGCUGUAGUCAUAUACUUGAGUCAGUUAGUUAGUUGCAAUCCUCUAACCGACUCAACACGUAUUUAGGGAGAGGGAACUAACAACCUAACUAACUCAGAAGCUUUUAUAGAGAACUUUAAACUAGUUGACUUGGUACAACUCUAGCAUUCUCCCUUACAGGUGGAGGGUGUCUCGACCAAGCUAAACUUUUCACAAAGAGAGCAAAACCUGGCAGCUGAAAGAGGCUUGGUAAGAGCAUCAUCCCACUGGUCUUGAGGAUGGACAUGGAAAACAAUUAAACUUUUGUUGAGUACUUUCUCUCAAAAAAUAUCAAACUCCAUAUGUUUUGUACGACUGUGCAGAAUUGGAUAAUGAGCUAGAUAAACGGUGCAAAGAUUAUCACAAAGAAUCUUAGGUGUUUUGAAUUUGCACUCCAGCUUAGUAAGAAUUAAGAAGUGAAUGAAUUUAGAGCAUUUCUGCUGAGAGAUUAGCUAAACUCCUAUACUCCGCCUUGGCACUGGAGUGUGCUAUACCAGGGUCUGCUUCUUUGACCACCAAGAAACUGGAUUAGGACCCAAGGUAAAUGCAGGCCCAUGCAGCAUCAUAAAAGCCAGUUGAGGAGAGGGGCUGAUGCACAGGAGCUAACUGCAGAAGUAAACCACUUGAGCAUGCCACAAAUUAUAACUAGUGUGUGAAACACGUGCAUAAUUAUUUGAACUCGAUGCAUCAACUGUUAUUCCAUAUUGCAAUAAGUACGAACACAAGAAUUUUAUCCAAGUUAUAUAAUACAAGGUAAAGCGAUGAAUAACAUUACAAUUUAAACUUAGGCCAUAUAAUACACAAACCGAUGAGCAAAUACACAUUUGUAAAUUGACAUUUAAAAGAAGUAAAUUAACUUUCUCGAAGAAGUAAAUUUGUAAACAAAAACUUCUUACAUUUUAGAAUUCAAACAUCAGGAAAGCUUUUCCAGAAUACUAGUCAAUGAUGCAUCCAUGGCGUAAAAAGAGUUCCCUCUUUUUGUCAUGGGAAAGAUAAUGAAGUGGAGCAACUAUCUUUCUGAAUGAUGGCCUUGAAAAUACCAUUGAGGCUAUAAUGCACUUUAUUACAACCGCUUAAAUUGAUCUCUCUCAGGUUGUGUGCAGUUUUUCACCACAUGCUUCACUCCCAUCUUUGUGAUACCUUCACAAUUUUGCAGUAAUAGUUGCAAAAGCCGACAACAACUCUUUGAGAUCACAUGAAGUGCUUCAUAAUAGACUCUUGUAUCUAUUAAGCUCAACACCUCAAGUUUGAGAACUCUAAUGUUCAUACCAUACAACUUCACUCUUGAGCAGUGGGCUAAGUUCAAAUGCCUAAUCUUAGACCAUCUAUUUAAAACUCGACAGAUACUGUUGUCAGAUAUGUUAUCACAAUAGCUCAAACCAAUUAGCUGCAAAUUCAGGAAAAUUGAAGCAAACAUUAUAAGGUAUUCAUCUCUUAACCAUGAAUUGUGAGCCAAAUAGAGAGAUUUUAAUUGAGGAUUGAAAACAAAGUCCAACAAGGAGUCAAUGAAACAUGAAGUAAAAGUCAAGAUCAUUGGGAAAGUCGGUGGAAAAGGAUAAAGAGGUCAAUGUUGGUCUCUGAAGGAGAGCAGAAGCAAUACCUUGAUUGGUUAUGUGAUAGCUAUUAAAGAUGAUAACCUCGCUUACAGUUUUUGAACAAGUGGAAAAGCAAUUAAGUCGCUGGAAAAGCAAGGGGAAACAGUUGGCAAUGAGAAAUAAGUGAGAGUAAUAAAUGAAGUUGAUCGGAGAUAUUCAGAGUUGUUAGUUGUUUCAAUUGGAAACAAGUGAGAGAGAAUCGGAGAUUAACUGUUUUGAGACGGCGGAGAGAGAUUUCAAGCAGUUGCCUUCCACUGUAUAAUCAAUCAUUUUCAUCAUCAAAAUCGACGAAUUUCAUGUAGCGCCGGUUGUAGUCUCCGUCCUCUUUCAGGGAUCUCAGAACAAAUUCCCAACAGCCAUUGUUUUGUGGAUUUGCAGACUUCAAGGGUAAUAAGUAGUACUGCUUGCUUCCUUCCUUUUAAAUAUAGCCAAAACUCAAAAUGUAUUUAAACCAAAUUAAGACCCAAUACAUUUUGAGUUUCUUAUUGGGCUUUUUUUAUUUUGAGUCAAAAUAGGGUUUCUUUCGCGUCCUAUUUUUUUACAAAAAUGCUCUUAGAGUUUUUAGAUUUUAUAAUCUCAAUUCAGUUUUUCCUUUGUUAUGGGAUGAACAAAAUGAAGUUUUCACUAAUUUGGAUCUUAUAAUUCAAAAAUCCCAAAAAAUUAGGGUAACAGAAAAUAGUUCGGAUUAUAUCAUCUCAACUGUAUCAGCACAAAUUAUGAGCAUGUUUAUAACAUGGAUAGUCAUUUUAAAGACCAUAUUAAUAUUCUCAUAAUUUUCAUCCUUCUGUUUUGGGUCAUUGUUAGUUCUUCUUAGUCAAAAAUCCAAUUUUCAGACUAAUUAAUUGGAUUGCUACGAAACUUUCCCAGAAACUCACAAAAAAAUCAAAGAUCAAGACUUCCUUAUAAGGGACUUCUUACGGGACUCCUCCCCUCAAAAUUCAAAAUAUCAUCGUUUAAACCCAUAUUUUUAGGAUUUUAUUUGACAUGUUUUUAGCAUUUUUUUACUUUGUUUUUUGGUUGUUUUUCAAAGCAAAAUUUAAAACUGUUGAAAUAGGAGAUAUUCUUAUCGUUGAUUAUACAUAAGCAUAUUUCGGAUUAAAAAUCGGAAUUAGUAAAAUAUAAUUUCGGAUUUUAAAAUCCGAAAAACCUCAUAAGCAUUUUUGUAAAUAAAAAAUAAAAAAUAGGACGUGCGAGAAAUCGGUAGGAUGAGAAAAGUAAUAGUCUAAAACAUAUGUUAAGAGACUCGGUGGGUUUAUUAUGGGGCUUUUUUAUUCUUCUACAGUGUAUUUUAUAGAAUUUUGCUCUUUACCCAACACAAAACAUUCGUGCCCAACUAAUUUUUCAAAUAUACCCGUGGGUUAAGUCACGCACCACUGGCAUGUGCGUGAGUUAAUCCACGCAGGUUGGCCGGUGGUCUGAGCUCAAGAACACACGUUUUUUGGACGGUGAUCAGGUUUUCAACCUUGAUUCUACACGUUUUUUACUGCAUUUAUUGUAGUUAUAACAUAUGUUACCAUUCCCACCUAUAAAUUCCCCUCCAAACUUCCCCAUUUUCUCACACCAUCUCACAUUUUCAUUCACUUCCUCACUCUCUCCCCCUAUGAAUCUCCUUUUCCUUCUUUUUUAGUCUUUAUUUUGGUGUAAAAAGAGGUCAGUCUUGGGGUAAAAAGAUGAUUGUUGAGCAACCUUCUUGGGGUAAAAAGAAGAAAAUUUAGUUUUACCCUAGGGUAAAACUAAAUGUGCAGAUUUAGUUUUACCCCAUGAAGGCUGGUUUUCUUGUGGAUUUCUUUUAGUUUUACUCCAGGAAGGUAGGUUUUGUUGUGGUUUUUUUUCUUCCGCAGAUUUAGUUUUACCCCUUUGUAAAUAUAAUAAGAAUUAUAUUAAUAAAAUGAUAUUUUAUAUCUAUUAUUUUUGUUGAUUUUUGCAUUUAUUUUAUGAUUGCGUAUUGAAUAAAAACUAAUUAAACUUAGCGUGAAUUCAAAUAAAAAUUGCGUAUUAAAUAAAUUUGAAUAAAAUUGUGUAUUAAUCAAAUCAGUUUAACACACGCAGGUGCUAAUUGUUGCGUAAGUUAACUAACGCAUAUAUGUACUCUUGCGUGACUUAAGGCACACCACGAGAGUUAACUAAGGCAGGAUUAACAAUUGCGUUAAUUAACUCACGCAGGAGUAUUUUGGUCAUUUUGGUUGGAUGGGAGCAAAACUUGUUGGGAGAAGAACAUAAUUCUAUUUUUUGUGCGUCUUAAUUUGAUUUUUUUCAUACUCAGAUUAUUAUAUAUGUUAUGUUUGGUAACUCCAAUAGACAUUAAGCUAUAGCUUAUUGAACUAGUUUAUAAACUUGUUUGAUAAAAUGAAAACAUAUUUGGUAAUAAGCUUUUCUCAUUAGCUCAUAGCUUCUUUUGAAAUGUUAUUUCAAGUAGCGUUUGAACUUAUAGCUUAAUAAUUUUUUUGUUAUAAAAAAGAUAGGCCCGUAAUCGUAAUGGAAUAUAUGAACUCUAUUCAAAGAUUAUAAACUUGAAGAUUAUGAUUUGCUCAAACAUCGGCUUUCUUUGUGGUUGUCAACUGAAUUGAAUUCCAUUACCUUUGGUAUUGAAAAGAAAAUAUGUAGAUCUGGUUUGACACCCUCAUUAACUUGAAUUUGAUCGUUUCAUUCGUGAGCUUCAAAAGAUUAAAUGUUAUUGAUUAUGAUUUCCAGGAAUCUCUUGAUCGUCGAAUUACCGAUCAAUGUAUCAACAAGUUAUCUACAUUUCUUCUUAACAUGAUUGUUUGUUUCCAGCUAAUGAACUCAUCCUUUUUCAUAAUCAAAAGAAACUACCCUUUACUCCGUGAGAUUAAAAUGGAGAGAACAUAUAUUGGAUUUGUGUCAGCCUUCAAGUGAAAGCAAUUUGUUUUGGUUAGAACAUUUUACUGAAUGAUACAAGUUUAAUAAAAGUUUCCAGUGAUACAAGUUUAAAUUCUUGUAAAGGUAUUUUGUGAGAUAAGGCCUUUAGGCCAAGAAUUGAAGAUGAAGUGGUUCGGUGGACUAUUGCUUCUGGACAUCCAUAUUUGUUUGUAUGGUUACAGCUAAGGGGGUCAUAGACGUAGUAGAAAAUUGAAGGUUAUUGAAACAGUUAAGUUUAAAGAAUUGCAGUAAAAGCUCUCUUGUCAAAGCGGAAAUGCGGCGCGGCGCGGCCACCCCAAAACUUGACACGGCGCAGGGUGCGGGCACGUAGCUGACGCUAUUUCGGUGAUGUGGACACUAAUAUAUUUAAUAUUAAAAUACUAUACAGUUGAGAAAAAUACUAAAAUUCCUUAAACAUUACUCAAAAUUCAUGAAGUAUUCUUAAUUUGAAAUAAAAGUCACAAGCCUUAAGCAAAACAUAAAACAUACUUGCAAAAAAUACUAAUAAAACUCAAGGAAACCGACACUUUAAGCCUCUAAAGCUUAAAGUAACAAAAGUGCAAAACAUUAACAAUUAACAAGUUCAUCCUCCCAAUUAACAAAUUAACAACUAACAAAUUGACAAAUUAACAAAUUCUAAAAUCAAGAGAUGAAGAGAGGAGAACAAAGAUGGGUUUUGUGAUCAAGAGAUGAUUAGAUGAGAAGAGGAGAUGGAUUUUUUUUGUUGGUACGAUGAAGAAGUUGUGUUUGAGGCUGUGUAUUUGGUUAUGAUAGAGAAGAGUAAUAGUUAUGGUUUUGAAAAUUACAAAAUUGACCCUUAAAACGGUUUUAAGUGAAAGGAAAAUCUUGUAUUUUACACAGGGUUGUAAAAAGCGUCCGCUUUGACCCACAUUGCGCCCGCUUCAGCCGCUUUCGCCAAACGCUCCGCGUUGGAGCGUUGCGUCGCGUUUUGCUGUUUUUGGCUGCUCCGUACUGUGUUCGGCCAUUAUUGACAACAUAGAGUAAAAGUAUUCAACACUUGUACGACACAUGUUAAAAAUUUCAGACAAGUACCCCAACUCCCACAAUAAUUUGUUUUUUUUUUAAUAAUUGAUGUAAGUUCACAGAAACGGUCCUUAUUGAUCUUUAAUAUUCGCUACUUGUUAUUUUUUAACGCUAUGAACUUAUAAAUAGAGUAGUAAGAGUACUACCAGCAAAAAGAAUACUACCUCCGUCCUUAAUUAUAAGACCCUUUUGAGAUUUUUUUUUGUCCCUUUUUAUAAGAUCCCUUUUCUAUUUCCAACUACAUUAAUUAUUUCUUUACAUACAUGCCCCUAUUUAUUAUAUAUUUUUUUCUUCAAUCAGCAAUAAAUAGAAUGCUGAAAACAUAAGCCAACCCUCUUUCUUAAAGGAUAAAAUUGUAAAAACAAUAGUAAUUACAAACAUAUUUAAUACAAAUAUCCACUAUCUUAAUUCCCGUUAUUUUUUCAAAAGGACCUUAUAAUUAUGGACGGAUGUAGUAGUUUAGUUCAUGUUGAUGAUGAAAUUUUGAAUUGUCACAACCAUGGUCGGUUCUAAAAGUUUCAGCAUCCUGGACGAAUUAAUAAAAUUGUACCUUUUUAAUUAUUUAAAUGUAUUUCUUCUUACAUUUUUUAUGGUUAAAGAUUCCGUCAUUAUCAAAGUUUUUUAAAAACAUAUUAUCAAUAUAUUAAUCAAAUUGAUGUAAAAAAAUGCCCUCAAUUUUACAUUAUCAAAAUUGAGGGCAUUUUUUAACAUCUUUCAGCUAUUUUGGGCUGACUUUUUCUUUUCAAAAAUGCCCUCAAUUUUAAAUACAAAUGACAAAGGUAACAAAUAGUUAAGAAUAAAAUUAAAUAUUUAAAAAAUAUAACAAACACAAUAUGAAUAUAUAUAUAUAUAUAUAUAUAUAUGUCUGGUUUUUUUUCCUUUAUCAUUUAAAAAGUGUAAAAACUAGAUGACUAUACUUAUAUUUAUUUUUUCAUUAUCCCAAUUAUAUCUUUAAAUAAUUUUUUCUAUAAUAAAGAUUGUAUUUAGAUUAUAUUUCUUUGAUAUAUUGUUGGUGUCAUUGAAAUAUAUAUUCAUGGUUAGUUUUGUUUGUUAUGACUUGAAAGCAACCAAUAUUUAUAUUUUUAGUUUUAAUCAAAAUCAAAAUUCCAUAAAAAAACACUGUUCACAAUUUUCAAACAUUAGCGCAUUAAAAAGAGCGGAAAGACGAGCAUAUGAGUGUCGUAUUUUCGCUAGUCUAUAUAAUAUUAAUUACUACGUAAAAAUAAUAAUUUGGUGCCCUUAUAAAAAUAGUGUCAUGGGCUAUCGCCCUCCCGCCAACCCUUUAGGCCACCCCUGGUCACAACAAUUUGGAAGUAAUGUUUGACACUUUCACCUAUUAAAAAAGGAUAGAAAGAAAAAAUAAUUAAAUUAUAUUCAUUCUAAAUUAAUUAUUUAAUAUGUAUUUCGAUGUUUGUAUAAAUAUUAAGCUUAGAAGACAUAAAUUAUAAACGUAAAUUAUCAAAAUACAUUAAUAGCAAAAUUGAAUUCAUAAUUUUAUGUAUUUUUUCAACAAUGGAACUUUUACGAAAAUUACGACAAAAAAUCAAGUUAACGUAGAACCUUCCGUUCAUACCCUUCUAUGUUUUCCUGGAAUGUCGCGGGAUGCAUAAAUUGGCGCGUAAAAACGGUUUCAUACACAUGUUUUAAUGAGAGUCAAUUCAUUAUCGAUUAGAACAACAUAGUUUAUUGUCUUUUUUUUUAGUUUAUCAAAAUACAUUAAUAGUAAAAUUGAAUUCAUAACUUUAUGUAUUUCUUCAACAACGGAACUUUUACGAAAAUCACGACAAGAAACCUAAGUCAACGUAGAACCUUCUAUUUAUACAUUCUAUGUUUUCCCGGAAUGUCGCGGGAUGCAAAAAAUUGGCGCGUAAACGCGGUUUCAUACACAUGCUUUAAUUGUUUUCCCGGAAUGUCGCGGGAUGCAAAAAUUGGCGCGUAAACGCGGUUUCAUGCACAUGCUUUAAUAAGAGUCAAUUCAUUAUCGAUUAGAACAACAUAGUUUAUCAUCUUUUACUGCUAGUAAGUGUUAAAAUUAAAUCACUUGAUUCUAUCUCGUAAUAAUAAUAUAAAGAGUCUUGUUGAGAAUUAAAAUUAAAAUUUUAGUAUCAGGAAAAACUCAAAUCUCUGUUUUUUUUUUUUAUCGGAGAUAAAUAUUCAUCCCUAAUUCCAUAUUGAAAAAAUAGAACUCCAUAUAAGAGUUUAUAAGUAGGAGAGACACUUCUUACUUUAAAAGUCACUUGUGUAAGGUUGAAUUAUAUCUAAUUUCAAUUUAAAUAUGGUAUCAGAGUCUAUUAAUUCAGAUCACCUAUCUAUCCACACAACAAAGCCAAUAUUGUUCGACGUUAGGGGAUGUAUUGAAGAAAAAAAUCAAGUAUUACAUUGAAAAAAUAGGACUUUAGCCAAGAGUUUAUAAGGAGGACACGUUCCUCACUUUGCAAGCCAAUUUUAUAAUGAUAAGUUAGAUCAUACUUGAUAUCGACAGAAUCGUUCCUUAAAAUUGAUAGAGAAAAGUUGGUUUGUAUUUGAAAGUAAUAGUUUAAAAGGGAGUACAAAAGAAUUGGUUUUUUAGUGGAUAGUAAAAUAAUAUCAUUUUUAAGGUGUAAAUACAUGUAUGUUUUAUGAAUCUUACACUUAAAAUCCAAUUUUUAUUAACAAAUAAUUUUUUUAAGGUUAAAUGUGUCAUUAAUCCUUGCAGUUACACCAUUUUUUGGGUUUGGUCCCUGUGCUUUUUUAGUUUGGUUUUAGUCCUUGCACUUUAGAAAAAAUAUGGUUUUGGUCCUUGCCGUUAAAAAAAUGUCAAAAUUAACAGAGUGCCACGUGACCCAAUCGUUACAUGCCAUGUGGCACAUCAAAAAGAAAUAUUUAAUUUUUUUUUUUUGGUAGAUAAAAAAUAUUUAAAAAUUUAAUUAAAUAAAAUAAAACAAUUGUUUUAUAAUUUGUUUUGUUAUUGUUAUUAGAGCUUACUGUUCAUCAUCCCCUUCAAUCCCACAUCAUCACCAUCACCAUUUAUGCUCUUACAACAGAAUUAUAAACUAUUCUUCUCUCAAUUUCAGUCAUAUCCCCCUUUCUUGUUACAAUACAAUUAUAGAUUACUCUUGUUCAAGGUUUGGUGUUCGUGCCUCUGUUUUUAGUGUAUUGUAACAGAAUAUGACACACAACCACCAUUUCUUCUUAGCAAAUUUUAUCAUUGAAUUGAACCACAAAAUUUCAUCUUUCAACUGGACUAUGAAGAGAUUGAUUCGCAUUCAAUUGAAAACCCUAGUUUCCAUUUUUUCCCCUUUCACAAAACCUUCGAUUGGCGUUUAUGUGCAAAUUGGAAUUCCUUCUUAACACUUGCAAUAAUAUUGACAAUAAAGGUGUUGAUAGUGAAGAAGAAAAACAUCAACAAUGCUGUUGUGAUGGAAUGGGAAUGCUACAGAACCGUAACACAAGAGGACUUGGCUUUUUAAUGUUAUGUUACUAAUAAUAUUAAAUAAAAUAGUAAUAAUAAAACUUGUCGAGAAAUGACUCAAAAUUGUGAUGCUGCGAAAGCUGAGAAUCGUGGCGCGAUUUUCAGAGGCGUGGCGCGAUUUUAUUGGCAGAAUGGAUGGUUUCUACUGAAGCAAAUUGUGACGCGAUUUUGUGCAGCGUGACACGAUUUGUGGAUAAGGCUGUUGUAUCUUGGGUCGUACACAAUGAACCGUGGCACGAUUUUGGCUGGCGCGGCGCGAUUUUGACAGAUCUGUCACACUAUUUAAGCAAUCUAUGACCCAUUUGUUAAAGAGCUUGGUGAAUCUCGUGGAAACCAAAGGAGAGAACUUUUAGGAUUUGUAGAUACUAAAGGUUGAGGGACUUUGGGUGAGGUUCAAAGCUUCAUGAUGUGAAUCUUGGAGAACCAAAAGAGGGGGCUCUUGUGAAAAGGGUCGGUGCCUUUUGGGGAAGAUUCAUGAGAAUGGGAAACACAUGAGUGGAGAGUCAUUUGUGAGCAACUUGGGUGAGUCUUGUGAAAUCAAAAGAGAAGAUCCUUAGGAAAUCAAAGGCUAAGGGUUGGUUCUCUUUUGUGGGUUAGAUUCUAGAGUUGGGAAACAAUUGUAAACACCUUGGGAGAGUGAAAAUUCAAUUAGUAUCUUGUUCAUUUGUGAGAUUGAGAAAAUGGGUAGAAAUUAGGUUUGUUCUUUGUGAGCUUGUUGAAGCUAAUUUCUUGUAACCCAUUUGUAUCGCUUUGUAAGAACUAAUUGAUAGUGGAUUGGAGAGAUCAAUCUCUCCUCCAGAGUAGGUCAUUGUUGGACCGAACUGGAUGAACAUUUCUUGGUGUUGUUAUCUUUUCUUUACUCUCUUUAUCUUGUUUAUCCUUUGGUUAGAUUGUGGUUUUGUUAUGCACUUGGUUUAUAGACUAGGUCUAUAUUGUUGUUGUUGUUUGUGGUUAUUUACAUUUGAUUAUUGGUUGCCACUGAUACUUGCUCCACGAAUCUAAAUUUCAUUGAUGUGAGGUUUGGAAUUUGAGACCGAAUUCACAACAAAACUAAUUAUAAAACAAUUGUUUUAUUUGAUUUAAUUUAAUUUGUAAAUAUUUCUUUAUGUUGUGCCACAUGGCAUGUAACGAACUAUAGUUUGUUCUCAUAAAAAAACCAUCUUCAACUCUCAAAUUUGAUUAUUUUCAACGCCAAUGGUAAACCAAAUAGGCACAAACACGUGUGAAAGCAAGGAAUUGGAUCAUUUGGAGUUAGUUUAAGUCUUUUGAAGUUAAAUAUCAUGACUAAGAAGUAUAUAGAAUUAUUCUAUUAUUGACGAUAAAACUCAUGUUCAUAUGUGCACUUUUUUACAUUAAUUUAGUUGGGAAGUCGUGAACGAAGUUGCCACACUUUUUCUCUAAUAACACUUGUUAAUUCUCUAAUCUCUAGUCAAUUGUCUUACGCUUAUGUCCAUUUUGAGCUCAUCUAUUUUUUCUGAAUGAAUGAAAAUGAAACAUUGGACUUUGCCAAGAGUGUAAUUUGCUCCUAAUGUGAAACAUUGACCUAUGGUUGGUUGUAUUUUAUAAAGACCGUAGUUUCAAACAAGUGAACAACUACUUUUUUAUGAAAUGGUUUUUUUAGGGCUUUCGUCGUGACUCUAGAAAUUUACUCUACUAAAAUAACCAAGUUCUCCAUGGCUACGUCCCACACACACUUUUGGUUGACAAAAUUAUUACCAUGUGUUAAAACAGGAAUGUUUGACCUUAUGGGACAAUGACGCUGAGGUUCAUAGCAAAUUCGAGUGAUUUUGCUUCCAAUAUCAUAAAAUAUAUUUUGUAAUUCGUAAUUCAGCAAUAACAAGCAACAUAACACAAGGGAUAAUCAGUGUUGAAAAUAUUAGGAAACAAGUCAAUGAGUUGCUCAUGUGUUGCAAGGGCGGCUUUGUCUAUAUAACUAAUUUCUGUAUCUUUAUCAAUAUUCCUCCUUGUAUAUGUGAAACUAUCAUUAAUGAAAUGUUUUGCCUUUCAACGUAAAAAAAAAAAAAAAAAAAAAAAAAAAAAAAAAAAAAACGACAGAAGGGACAAUAUUUUCAACAUGAUACAAUGCAUGAUUAGUAUUAAAGCAGGUUUGUUGAAAUCACGUUAAGCCACCCUAAUACCAAACAUGCAAAUAGGUUUAGGUCAUUAACGACCAACAUGACACGAUGAAUAAUUAGUGUAGAAACUCCAAGAUUGAAUUUAUUAGAAAACAAGCUGAUGAGUUACUCAUGUGUGUUAGUAAGGGUGACUUUGUCUAUAGCUAGUUUCUACAUCUUUAUCGAUACUCUUGUAUCAGUGAAACUAUCAUUAAUGACAAAUUUUGUCUUUUAUCGUAAAAAAAUGACACAACGGGACAACAUUUUCAACAUGAUAGAGUGCAUGAUUGGCAUCAAAAUGGUUUACCGAAAUCACGUUGAAUCACCCUAAUACGAAACAUGUGAAUAGGUUUAGGUCAUUAUGCCAUUAAAGUGGAUAUGCAUAUAAACAUGUUUGUUCCCUUUACAGUUCAAACUUAUAAUUUUAGUAAUAAUUGAACCUCAACUCAAGCCUCUUCCCCCACCUGCGGCCAACCAACCAUCUAUUGCUGGUAGGUACCCCCAAAUGGUACCUCCAUUUCAAGCAAUUACCAGAUUUAGAAAAUACUGCAAUGUUUUUCUUGGAGAAUUGUAUAGCCAUACCCAUAAUCGAUGAAACCAAACGGAAUGAGAGAGGCAAGUACACAACUCAAUCCAUCUCCGCAAUAAGCAAACUUGCAAAUGAAAAAUGUUGAGCUAUGGUUUACCAAAAAAAAAAAAAAAAAAAAAGAAGUUAAUAUCUUAAUCUUCAUCUUCUAUGGCAUGUAAAAACUAGGAUCCCAUACAGCAAUUAGCAAGCUUUAUUUCUUUUAAAACACACAAAAACACUGCCAAAGUUAAAACACCUGAAAAGUGCAAAAUCAGGUGUUUUAGAGCAAGAUUAUGUUCCUUCUUUCAAUCUUCCUAUUUACAAGGUGAAAAGCAACAAUGAUAAACUUAUGCAGUUGUGCAAAGAUUCCAUCUCCAUUGACCCUUUAUACCACUAAUGAUGCUCUUUUCUUUCAGCAAUUAGUAUCCAUUUGAAGAGCAUAGAAAGGUUACCUCUAAUGUAAAUUGAGAAAGACAAGUUAGAGCAAAAAAGAAAGAAAAAAAAUACAAAAUGUGUCAACAAAAAAACAGCAUCCUUCUGAAUGAAUGAACCAAAAUGGGGACCCCAAAAACAACUAUCCCCAACUCAACAACAAGGCAUAACAUCAUCAUCAUAUAUUACAUAUAGAUUAGAUUCCCUAUUUUACCAAUUAAAGUGAAAAAGAACCUAUGUUAUAAAUGCUCCACAACAAGAAAUCACUAUACCAUUACCAUAACUCAAUCUAACUAUAUAGAUAGAUAUAAACCAAAUUCAAAUACCGUUUUUCCAUUAGCACUAACAACAAAAAUCAACCAUUCAUGCACAAUCAUUUAGUUUAGCAUAAAAAGAUAAAAACAAAAUAAGUAAAAGAACACUCACAUGAUAAUUUUAAGCAAAUAAAGGAAGCAUAAGCAUUGGAUUACAUUUUGUUACAUUCAUUCAUAAUAACAUUUAUAAUAAUAGAGAUAACCAAAAAUAAAAGUUCUAGAUUCAUGUAAUAGUGAUUGAAAUCAGCAAUCUUCAAUCAGCAUCUGAUGCUACCAAUUCAGUUCUUCUUCAACAUCUUUUGAAAAUAGUAAUAAAAAUAAUUAAAAGUAAAAAAAACAACAAAAAUUACAUUGACGAACUAAGAAGAUUGUGAUCUUGGUGGUGGAGGAAGUAACUGAUGCAUAUUUGGAGGACUCUGAUUAUGAUUAGAACCAUUUCUCACAAGAAAAGGAUGUGAAAGCAACCUCGAAGCAGUCCAUCUCCUCGACGGAUCUCUCUGCAAACACCUAGAAACGAAAUCCCUGAACUCCGGUGAAGCAGUCGUUGGAGCUUCUGGUGGUUGUGACAUACAAAUUGCACACAUCAAACUCGCCCAAUCACCUUGUCUACCAACCGCAAAUGGAAACCUUCCCAUAUAAAACUCCAAUAUACUCACACCUAAACUCCAUAUAUCACCUGCGUAUGCAUCAUAUUGUCCAUCGUUGAUAUCGGUGUUUAUCCUCUCCGGUGACAUGUAAGCAAUUGUUCCUACCGAUGAAUUACACGGAUCCAUCGUUUGAUUCAGAAUUCUUCCUACACCAAAAUCAGCAAUCUUCACCUGUUUCCGUGAAUUUAUCAAGAGAUUCGACGGUUUGAUAUCACGAUGAACGAUGUGACGACGGUGGAGAUACGCGAGUCCACGGAGGAUCUGACGUGCCACGUCAGCAAGUUGAUUUUCCUGCGGAAUAUGUUUCCCUUCGAGAGAUCCACCGUCCAUGUAUUCAAGCAAAACCUGAAUCUCAGCGUUGUGAUCGUACAUCUCAUGACACUUGACGACGUUAACAUCAUCAACAUCACGCAAGAUCUGGAUUUCACGAUGGAUCUGACGACGAACUGAUUCCUCGUGAUGUCCGUAUAUCACCUUCAAAGCAUAAGCACGACCGUUGAUUCUGUGAACUACUUUGUAAACCGUUCCUCCACUUCCACUUCCGAUCCGGUUCAAUCUUUCUAGCUCGGAAAACGGAAUCACUAGCUGUUGACUUGCUCCUCCGCUUCCGCUACCGCUUCCGUUUCCUCCACCACCGCUGCCACCAGAUGGUGGCAGCGGAAGUGGAACAGCGAGGUUAGUGUCACGCUGAGGAAGCGGUAGAGUUAGGUGAUCUCUGCGGCGGCGUUGAGGGCGGCUGUUGUUGUUGUUUGGUGAACCGGAAGCGGUGGCUGAACCGGUGGAGGUUGGUGGUGGAAGCUGAAUCGGCCUCAUCUCAUUUCAAAUGAAAGAAAAUAUGAAAUAAAUUAAAUAAAAGUAUAUGGAGUUUAGAUUGAUUGAUUGAUUGAUUGAUUAAAAAUUAAUAAUAAUAAAUAACUAUGAUAGGAAGAAAAGAAAGCAUGGUGAGGAGUGAAUAGAAGAGAAGAGAAGAGAAGAGAAGGUUCCGGGAAGUGUAUGAGAAGCGAAAGAGAAAAUUGUUUUGUGAUUAGAGAAAAAAAAUGAAAAGAGGUGAAGGUAAGGUUAUUUGAUAGAGAAGAGAAAAGAAAAUAAAUAGAAAAUGAAAAUGAAAAUGAAAAUGUAAAAUGAAAAAGUAAGUAAUUAAUUAUUUAGAGCUGAGCCUCUGAGCUAGAGAGGUGGAAGUGAGAGGUUGCUAUCAAAAGAGGGAAUCCAGAUUUAAAAGAGAUGGGGUCCACGCGCCACCAGGGCCCGUGCGGAACGUGGACCAAUCAGAUUCCGGCACUCUUUCUCAUGUGUAGGCUUACAUCUAUUCUAUUCAUGUACAUGGUUGGAUUGGAUCAUUGGAUCAAAAUCACUUCACAAAUGUCUAUACUCUAUAUUAGAGAAAGAUUAAGAAAAGGAAAAUUAGUUCUUAUUGUGAAAAUAUAACAAAAAUUGUUUCUAAAUUUUACAAAUCGAUAAGAACACCUUUUUUUAGAUAGGAUAAAAAAUUAAAGAAUCCCCUAAAUUAUAAUGGUGUCAAUUAAAAAAAAUUAUUGAUUAAUUUUAUCUAUAUUAAUUUCUACAUUAAUGUUAUAUUAUUAAAAAUUAAAUUGUAUAAAGAAUUUAUAAAGUAAAAAAUUAUUUAAUGUUUUCAAUUUUGAGGUAUCAUUUUUAUAGUAUAUUUGGCUACCCGUUCACGUAGCAUGGCUCGAUUCUUAAAGAUGUGAUUUGUGAGAAGCUUCAAUUUGUCGUUUUGGUUUAAAUGUGUUUCAACCUUUUUCGUUGUAAACAAAACGGUUGUUUAAAGUUGACAUCAAAUGUAUGGAUUAAUGUGUAACGUAAUAUCCAAUUUGGCGGCUCGAUGCUUAAUGAUGUGAUUUGUAAGAAGCUUCGAUUUGUAGUUUUGAUUUAAAUGUGUGUUUCAACCUUUUUCGUUGUAAACAAAUGGUUGUCGGUUAUUUAAAGUUGACAUCAAAUACAUCGAUUAACGUAAUAUUGGCAAAAAAAAAAUGUGUCACGUAAGUUUUCGAUAAUGUAAUAUUUAAGUAAGAUUCAUACAUGUUAAAUGUUAUAUGCUCAUUUAACAUAUUUCCUUAUACCUAGCACUAACUAAUAUUUACGCGUAAAAAAUGGCAAAGACGAUUUGCAUAUCAUUCCCCUGUGAAGGACCAGAUGAAUAUUAUAAACACCAUACUCCCUUUGUCUCAUAUAAGUGAGUUUUUUUUGCUCAUUUCACGCAUAUUAAGAAAAAAUAUAUAUAAGUGAAAACAUAGUUGUAAAACCCGGCUUGGACCGGCCAGUCGGAUAGGUUCGACCGUGAAUCAGUAAGAAAUCGGUUCGAGCUGCUUAUUGGAUCAGUUAUGUUUUCAAACCGGUGGGAACUGUAACGCCCACUUUCGUUUAAUCGUUUAUUUAAUCGAGUUUAGGUGAUUAUAUUAAAAUUAUAUAAUAUAUGCAUGAUUUUGAUAUGUUUUGAUGAUUUACGAUGAUUUGAAUGAUUUGAUCGAUGACGUGAUAAGUUAUGAGUUUUGGAAGAUUUGAUAAGGAUAUGAGAAUUAUUUUAUUGUUAAAUAAAAUAAAGAUUUGAAAAUAAUAUAAAAUAUUUAGUUGAGGGUUGUUUUGAUAUUUUAGAUAGUUUUAGGGGAGAAAGUGAGAUAAGAUAAGUAAUUAAGAAAAUAUAUAAAUAGGGAAGACCUAAUUUUUAGAAAAACUGAUUGUACGUGAAAACUUUUGGAAAAAGGGAGAAAAAGCUUAGAGAGGAGCAAGAGACCAAGAGGGCUGCGAUUUUCUGCAAAUUUAAGGUAAGGGUGAGACUAAUAACUCAGUAAUAUUAGUUGUUGUAAUUCUGAUGAAUAAUUAGCAAGAAUUAGGAUUAAUUGGAGAAAACGAAAACUAGGUCAAAACCUUAGAAUUGAUGAUCAAACGGUGAGAAUUGGUUUAAUUGAUGUAG